rnacentral:lncRNA from 1 species
UUUUUUUUUUUUUUUUUUGUAUCUUUUAUAUUUUUGUUGACUACAAAAUUUCUAUGAUCUAUUUUAAUUUUAACUUUAUAUAAUCAUGAAGUCAUAUGGCAAAGGGUUGGGCCGUGCUUAGGUCGGGAAACUAAGGCCAUCUCCAACCGAUCCGGUCAAAGGGUUAUAGGGUUAAAAAUAGCUAAGAAUGGCACGAAAAUCGUUUCCAACCAAGAGCUUGUGGGUCCCACCGAGCCCAAACCCCCAAAUCAGGCUAGCAGGUUGGCCAUUUCCAGCCAGCCAGCCCUCUAACUUAGCCCUUCAGUGCCAAAAUGUCAAGCUUGACAUUUUGCCAGCCCUCUAGCUCCAGAAUGUCAAGCUUGACAUUUUGUCAGCCCUCUAGCUCAGCCUAUUUGAAUGCCAACGGCUACUUGGCAUCAGCAGGAUGCCAGCUUUCAAUGGCUAGCUAACGUCAUGUUGCCGUCAAGUUACCGUUGGAAUUUGAUUUUUUUUUUUUUGGACAAAUUUUAAUUUUUUUUAAUGUUGUAGGAAUGGUGUAGGUAUUUAUAGGGAAAAAAUUAGAAUUUUUUUUUUACAAUUUAAUGCUUGGGGAUCAAGCUAAUAAAACUUUGUCUUUGUUUCUUGCGUGGCGCAUCUAGACGGACGGAGGUAAAAAAGGAAAUUAGGUAAUACUGUUACACUUAUCACCAUUCUUUUGUUAUGAGAAGUAAAAUCUAGGUUUUUCGCAGCAGGAGCCAUACAUUAUCUGCUUAGUAUGCAUCUUUGAUCUCUUACUCGCGUGGCACAUCUAGACGAACGGAGGUAAAAAAAAAAAAAAGAAACUGGAUAAGACUGUUACACAUAUCACCAUUCUUCUAUCCUGAGAAGUAAAAUCUUGGUUUUUAGCCGUCAAAGCAGGACGUUAUCUGCUUAGUAUACAUUUUUUAUCUCUUUAUUUACGUGGUGCAUCCAGACAAGGUCUGAGGUGAAAAAAGUGGCGUGCAAGGGUAAUUUGGUAAUACAGACACCAUUCUCCUCCUGUGUGGAGUAAAAUCUAGGGUUUUUUUUUAGACAGUAUAUAAGUUUUUAGACCGACUGCUCCUGCUACUUCUAAUAUUCAUUAAAAAAGCUUCAGUGGGCCACCACCGAUGGUAACGUCGAGGACGCAAACUUCAGCUUCAAGCCAAUAAAGAAAAAAAUGAAAAGACCAGGUCUUUUUUCCUUAAACCCUAAUCCCUCUUUUGUCCAAUUAGGGUUUUUAGACUGACUUCGUUGUUGAUUGCAAUUCGGCUGUGGCCGGCGGCGUUAAAUCCCAAUUCUUGCUUCUGACUCGCCGUUGAUUGCAAUUUUGUUGCGUAAUUGACAAUUUUUUAAUUUUUUUUAGAAAUUUAAUUCAAUGGUUUUUUUAAGUGGGAUAAUUUGAGCGGCCAAUUGCUGAAUUUUGGAUUUGGGAUUUGGGGAAUUAGGGUUAUUAGCUCUCGGCGAGGUAAAGAUUUGUAAUUUAUUGGAACAAUGCGGGGUUUGAUAAUUGUGCUCGGAAAUUGGGGAUUUGAGCGAAUUGAUGAAUUUGAUUUUCUUUUGAUUUUGAAAUUUAAUUUAGAUUAAUUUGAUGGUUUCACGUGGAUAAUCGUGAUUUAAACGUGGUAAUUGGUAAAUAUUAUUAAACAGCAGCUGCAUUGUUAUCGAGAUUAUCAGUGUUCAUGCAAACUCAAACAUUCUGUUUAUAAUUUGGUACCUUUGAUACUAAAUGUUUGGUAAUUUACAGUUUCAGCAUGAAUGAAGUCUUAUAAAAUCAGCAAGAUGGAUGUACAGAGAUACAAUUCAGGGCAAACCCUUGGCCAUAUAUCUAACUACCCGGAGCUGAAUCCUUUUUCACCAGGAGGGGAUGGUUUACGUCGUCAAGCAUUAAAAUGCCCAGUAGGCUACUUGAGGGAUUGGCGCAAAGGUCCUAAAGUUAUCCGCUUUCGUAAUUUUGUUAGGAAACUACUGUAAGUCUCUUUAGUUUGCAUUUCAACUUGAGCAUGUAUUAAACUACGCUUGCGUAGUCUUAAGCAUUGCUUUUAUUCGUUCUGAUGUUUGAAUUUCUUCCACAGUAAUGACUACUUAAUACGUACCAAUUAUGGGUUCGGAGAGCUGGUAUCUGAUUAUGCGGCUGUCGUGGAGAACCAGCUAUUUAUGGAGGCUACUUCUGAGGUCUGCAUUCAUAAUAAAUUCAAUAUUUAGCUUGAUAAGUUUGGUGUUUUAUCUAUAUGUUUUUGCUACUAAAUGGGAAACACUUGACAGCCAAUCAUGGCCGUGCUAUUGGAAAUACCUUUUGUAUUUUGAGGCUUAAUUAUUAGUCUUUGUAACAUGUUUUUGAGUAACUUGGUGACCUCAUCAACUAGCUUCAAAUUCUUUAAAGGAAAAAAAACUUGUUACUUAAAUCUUGUAGGAUAUAUUCCUCUUAUAUCUUGUCUGGUUGAAACUUUAUGAAUGCAUGUGUUAAAAUAUCCUGAACUUUUAAAUUUGGAUAUGUUCUAGGAGGAGUAUGUGAAUGUGGAAACAUUAUCUCUUCGGCUGCAAAGAUUACUCAACCUAUAUGAUCCAAACUCUAGUCAACCAGCAGGUUCUGCAGAAACACCUUCUAAUUGCUUGGGUGGUGCUAUUAGAUCUGACUCCAUUUGUAAUAAUGCAUUCAUAGCUAACAAUGCUGAUGAUGUUAACCUCACAAAAGGUGAGCCAUUUGAACCUUCCAUCAUAAACAUAAUUAACCAUUGGUUAAUUUAGCCAUAUUUAUCUCGUGGCAUAAUCAAUUUCUCUUGUAGGGCUCCCUUUUAAUGGUGAUAAGCAGGGAGAUACUAAAAGAUUCACUACUUCCAAUGAGUUGGACAUGCCUUACUCGUUAGGCCUAAGGCAGGCUUCUUCUGAUACUGUUCUUCCUCUUGAGGACGCUUCAACAUCAUUCGCUGCAUAUUCCAAUGCCAAUCAAGAGAUUCGGAAUUACAUUUCUGACAUAUCAUCUGAUUGUCAGGUUCAACAGCAACAUCUUGGCCAUGGUAUGGGUUUGUUUUAGGUCCCCAAAUCAUCGAUCGUUUCUUGGUAUUAAAUUACUUUCUAGUUUCUGCUAUUCCUGGGGAGGUAAUUUUUUAUUACAUAUUUAGCUACAGACUACAAUCUAUUAUCUAAAUGACAUACUCUUUUCAUAUUCUCGAAAGCUUGAAUCAGAUGUCUUGGUUCUCACUGGACUGCUGUAGAAGUAGCAUUGUUGUGUUAUUAUUAUGAAACAACGUAGUUAGAUCCAAGGCCAUAUUGCUCAUACUCCUCGUGUUCUCCCAUUUUACAUUUGAUAAAUGUUCACUGAUCCAAUAUGUUCUCAAGCAGACUAUUUGCAAUCUGGUAUCAAUAGGCGUGCAAUUAAUUAGAGUUGUAAAUUAUGUUAUUAGAGAAUCUAUAUUUCCAGAAGUAAUAAUUUUGUAUAGGAAAAGUGGGAAACAUACUUGAGUUUAACAAGUCCAUCCACUCAUACAUCUUCACUAAACCCUUUAUGCUGUUUGUCUGUUUCUAACAAGGGUUUUUUUUUCUUCUGGUGGAGUUGGAUGCUCUAAAUUCGAAGGUCGUUUGGGGAGUAACCAGAAUGCUCAAUCGUUGGUUUGUCCAUCUACGGAGGGAAACUUUUCAGUGUUUCCUCCUCUAACUUGCUGAUCCCUCAACAUUUUCCAACGGAUGUUCCUGAAGUCUCCAAUAUUCUUCCUGGCACAAUCUGCAGCCAAGAGAUCUCAACUCUUGAGGACAUAGUGCAAUCUUGUUCCCAGAUGAUAAAGUCUCAAUGUAACCGGAAACAAUCCCUUCAUCCAUUAAUGUGGCCUCAGGUUCUUCCAGUACAGUCACAGGGUGCUCAACAUUAUGCUUCAGAUGAUCCCAGUGCAGGAAACAUUGAAGAUAUGCCGCCUUCGUCAAAAAGGUUGAAGAUGGGUAACAUAAAUGGAAAUAAUCAUAUAUUGGUUCCUUCAAUUGUUCAACAUUGUGUUCCUGGAGGACUUUCAUAUCAACAGCAACAGUCUGAAUCACCUAUAUCCCUUAAUUCUGAGGAUAUAGUGCAGUCUUGUUCUCAGAUGAUAAGGUGUCAACAUAACAAAAAACGAUGCCCUCAUCUAUUGAAGCGGCCUCAGGUUCCUCCAGAACAGUCACAUGGUGCUCAACAGUAUGCUUCAGAUGGACCCAGUUCAGGAAACAUCAAAGAUAUGCCGCCUGCAGUUGUUCAAAAUUGUGUUCCUGAAGGACUUUCGUAUCUGCAGCAACAACCUAAAUCUCCUGCAUUUAUUAGUUCUGAGAAUAUAGUGCAAUCUUGCUCCCAGAUGAUAAAGUCUAAACAUAACCGAAAACGGCCAGUUCAUCCAUAUUUGCAGCCUCAGUUUCCUCCUGAACAAUCACAUGGUGCUCAACAGUAUGCUUCAGAUGGAUCCAGUUCAGGAAAUAUUGAAGAUAUCCCGCCUUCGUCAAAAAAGUUGAAAAUGGAGAACAAAAAUGAAAAUUACCAUCUAUUGGCCCCUUCAGUUGUUCAACCUUGUGCUCCUGAAGGGCUUUCAUAUCUGCAGCAACAAUCUGAAUCUCCUGUAUCUAUUAAUUCUGAAGUAACGCACGUGGAGAUGGAACCAGCAAAUAAUUCCAUACAAGAUUCCAUGAGGAUCAAUGAUGUUACAAAAUCUGAUUCUGACAUUAUCCUUAAACUGAACUCUGAGAGUGUGCCGAUUCCUUCUGGGGAAAUAUUUUCUUGUCAUCAUAUGGAGCAAAUAGACCUUACUAGCAGUAGUGAGAUUAUUGACAAUGUGAAAGAAGUUUCUGAAAGAAUGGGGUCCAAGAGUUCCCAUUUUUUCUCAGAAGGGCUUACAGAGGAAACAGUGAGGACUGACUUCACCCAGACAGAUCCAAAACCAGACUCUGAUUUGAAGGAAGUAAUAAAGCCACAGAAUCAAGAAACAAAUAGUGUCUUUUUGACAGAACUAUUAAAAGAAGAGCCAAUCAAGGAACAUUUAUCGAAUCUUGGGCUGAGCAUUGAUCAGGUAAUAAUUUUCCGUUCAUCAUUACUUUAUUCUCCAAGAGUUUCAACUUUUUUCUAAUUACUAUUCUUAUGCAUGUUGUUUAAAACAGAGUAUCUUGAUGGAAGAACGAGAAAACAGUGAGAAAGUGUGUCAGUUGUGUGCGUCAGGAAAGCUUUUUUUUGCCCCUGCACCAGUGUUUUGCUCAUGCUGUAAUGCUCGUCUCAAGCGCGGUGUUAACUAUUACUGCACACUGGAUGAGCAUAGUACACGAUAUUGUUUUUGUAACUCAUGCUAUAAGGGGUCUCGAAGAGGAAAUAUCUCAUUUCAUGGUAUCUGUAUUUCAAAGGCAACACUUGGUAGAAAGAAGAACGAUGAGGAAACUGAAGAACCGGUAAAUCAAGUCAUACUGUCUUCUUAUUUUCUGAGAUUUUGAAAGUAAUUAUUCAAUUCUGGAGGCUUUUUAUGUGCUUGCAGUGGGUUCAAUGUGAUAAAUGCAAGGGCUGGCAACAUCAGAUAUGUGCUGUCUUGAAUGAUAAUAGUGCUUUGGAAGGCAAAGUUGAGAACACAUGUCUCAAAUGCUUGUUAAAAGAAACAGAAUAUGGGGAGCUCAAGAACUUACCAAAGAGUUAUAUUUUCAGUGCAAAAGAUCUGCCAACUACCAUGCUUAGCGACCAUAUAGAACAAAGACUCUUUAGGCGCCUCAUGCAAGAGAGAGAAGAGAGAGCAAAGGUCCAAGAAAAAGAGUUUUCUGAGGUAAGAAGCAAACUGAUUGGGAAUUUUACACGUUCAGCUUAUCUGAUUUAUUUUUCAUUUUAUUGGAAAUUUUAUUUAUUUUGAGAUUUGAGCAAUUUUGAUCACUAGAUAACACCUAGCGAUAAGGAAUAAUCGAUUUAAUCAUGGGCUACCUGAUCUUUGUUUAUUUUUUAUCUUAUAAAGUUGCUUGUUUUGGAUAAUCGUGUGUGUAUCGAUUUCAUAAAUGUUCAUAAUAUAAAGUUCUUUGAACCUGCUUGUUUCUUAUGUUUUUUCUCAAUGGGUUGUUAGGUCCUGGGAACAGAAGGUUCUGUUGUCUAAGUGGUUUGUUCUAUUGAAAAUGUAAAAAGAAAACUUUCCAAUCUAAUAAGAAUAAAUAAAUACUCCACCUUUCAACAAAAAAAAAAAACCUCCAUCUACAAGUCACAUGCCAAUCAAUUCAAUCAGGGGCUGCUUCAGUGUACGUUAAGUUCCCAUCUGAAAGUCCUUCUUUGAUAUUCGCUGAAUGGAUUUGUGGUAUACAAUCAUUUCUGUCUGUUUAUUUUUUAUGAUUUGUUUGAUGGGUUGUUAGGCUCCAGGAGCAGAAGAUCUUGUUGUGAGAGAAAUUUUAUCCGUUAAAAAAACAUUAAAAGUGAAGCAGAAGUUUUUGGAUCUCUUUCAUGACGAGAAUUACCCUGCUGAAUUCCCAUACAAAUCAAAGGUGAGACAGUUUUUACAAUCCAUAGAGUUCUUUGUCGAUUUAUAGAUUUCUCUUCUCUCUCCCGCUGAAUCUCCUCUCCUAUAAUUGCUUGUUUGUUACAGUUACAAGAAAACCUAAUCUCACAUUUUGUUUUCUUUUUGCAUCCAGGUUAUUCUUUUGUUUCAGAAGAUUGAAGGAGUAGAUGUAUGCCUUUUUGGAAUGUAUGUGCAGGAGUUCGGCUCAGAAUGUAGUCACCCAAAUAAGCGUUGUGUUUAUAUCUCAUAUCUGGAUUCUAUUAAGUACUUCAGGCCAGAGACAAAAACCGUGACUGGAGAAGCUCUUCGUACGUUUGUUUAUCAUGAAAUAUUGGUAGUCACCUCUUUUCCCUAUCAUUAUUUAGGCCCAUGUUAUUGGUAGGUUAAUUGACACAUGAUUACUUACAUUUUUUAUUUUUACUAUUUUUGUCUUCAGAUAGCUUACCUUGAGUUUUGUAAGAAACGAGGUUUUGUUACCUCCUAUAUAUGGGCGUGUGCCCCUUUAAACGGUGAAGAUUAUAUUUUACACUGCCAUCCAGAAUUGCAGAAAAUGCCCAAGCCUGAGAAGCUGCGGCAAUGGUCUCUCUCUCUCUCUCUCUCUCUCUCUCGUGUUCAUCUUUUUGAUGUGUGCAUGCAUUUCUGCAAAUGUGCCUUCUCUGAUUUUAACUAGUUCACUUGUGCAGGUAUCAUUCGUUGAUAAAAAAGGCAGCUGAUGAAAAAAUUGUGGUCAGUCACACUAAUUUAUAUGAUCGUUUUUUUAUCCCCAGUGGGGAAUGUAACUCCAAGGUAACGGCAGCUCGUUUGCCAUAUUUUGAUGGUGACUAUUGGUCUGGUGCAACUGAGGAGGCGAUCAGGAAUAUUGAACAAGAAAGAAUGGCAGACACACAAAAGAAAUCAAAGAAAACAAUAACAAAGAGAACUUUAAAAGCCAUGGGCCAUACAGAUCCUUCUGAUGGCUCUACCAAGGAUAUUCUACUGAUGCAAAGAGUAAAUAUACUAAACCUUUCCCUUCUAAUUUUUCCUACUAAAUUGGUGGCUUAAAAGCUGUCUUCUAAUUAUCUAACUCUUCAAUUUGCAUACUCUAGUGAAGCAACCUUGGUGGCUUAAAAUAUACCCUAUCUAGUCAAAUGAGACAAGUAUUGGAAUUCUGAUAGAUAUGGGUAAAAACAGAGCACAAACUAAUGCUUGAUCAAUAUGAUCGAUUGCCUUCACUUUGAUCUGGUACUACUCUAGGGAGUAACGAGGGCAAUACUUUAUCGAGAUUCUGUGGUUUCCUGGGAAAUAUCUCAAUUCCUUGAUCACAAUAUCAAUAUUGGAGUGAUUGAGUGAGUGUUUGCCUUAAAUUUUACAAUGGUAAUAGUCAAUAGGUCUUGGGAAAGAAUAAAACAUUUACACCAGUGUUGUCAAUUGCGUUAAUACAAAUAAUAGAUUAACCCUCUUUUUCUCCCAUUAUAUCUAUUUACUCUUGAUCUUAUUUUGUUGUAUCUUCCUUUUUAGAUGGGGCAAAGCAUUUUGCAGACUAAGGAGGACUUUAUGAUUGUCGACAUGCAGUAUGUUUGCACUCACUGUCAUGAAGCAAUAUUAUCUGGACAACGCUGGUCCUGUGGUCAGUGCAAAAAUUUUCACCUCUGUGAAAGGUAACCAAUCACUCUGAAGUCUCUCCUUCUCUUCAAACUUUUUAUGCUGCCCCUUAAUAAGAAUAUUCAUGGUUCCUAUCAUUGAAAUGCAGUAUUAUUCAUCAUUCUUAGUUACCUGAUAUCUUAUUUCCAAACAAGGAGGGAGUGGAUGAACAAAACAAAAAAAAAAAAUCAUUAGUUUGAGCUUGAGCAAAAUUUCUUUUUAUUUUUUAUUUUUCUUAUUUUAAGAAGUAAAAUUCCAUUUAGGUUGAAUUGAUUAUCUUCUUUUUUUCUCUAUCAAUAACUCAAUCUUCUCUUUGUGUGUGAAAAUAUUCACGGGACAUUGUUCGUCUUUAAUGCCUAGAAUCUGUUGACCUUCUCUUUUCACUCUUAUUGUAUAUGUUGUAGAUGCCAUGAUGCUGAGCGCAAAAAUUGUGGACAGGACAUUCACAUCUCAGCCAACAUGGAACGACAUGUGCUUUCUCAGGUGAAUUUCAAACCUUAUGAGCUGAUAUGAUAUUUCUGCCCUUCUAGCACUACAUAUCCGCAUGCAGGAUUAGCCUGCUCAGUAGAUAACUAAUCAAGUUGCAAAGGAAACAUAAUUGUACACCGUAUAGAUCUAUCUGCUAAGGGAAGAUAUCAACAAUCAGUAACUGUACUACACGUAAACCUUUUUUUGUUAAUUCAUGAUAGGAGCUCAUUUACAAUAAAAGUUUAUACCAGUCAAUUAGUGUUAGCAUCUACCAAGCUUAAAAUAAUUUGAACCAGCCUAGGUACUAGUUUUACCAAAUGAAGUUGUAGUUCAAAUAAAUGCUCUCGUUAAUGUUAGAGUGGCAUAUUUGUGCAUAUUACAAUCAAAUUUGAUUAAUUCGUAUGACUUUUGCUCUUUUUCAGGUUGUGGUGGAGGAUGUGCUUUCUGAUACCAAGGAUGAUGAUGUUAUUUCGAACAACAAUUUACUUGAAAAUAGGCAUACUUUCUUGAGCUUUUGUGAGAAAAAGCAUUAUCAGUUUGGCACACUUCGCCGGGCCAAGUAUUCCUCAAAAAUGAUUCUGCAUCAUCUCCAUAAUGCUACUGUGCUAACUGCUGGGAACACAUGCAGUAUUUGCCAUAAGGAUGCUGUGGUUGAUCAGAGAUGGGUGUGUGAAAUAUGUCCAGAGUUUGAUGUUUGUGCAACAUGCUAUCGAGAGAAAGGAAGCGCUUGUCACAUUCAUAAGCUGACUCAAAGUCUCCCUCAGCUAACCGUGGGACAGAGAAUCGAAAGGUGCCAAAAAAAGGAUUUCUGGUAUAGAAGUAUUAAGUUUAAAUAUUUCAUCAUUCCUUCCUCUUUUCAUGUAGUAGUAGUUUUCAUCUUUUUUCAUGAUAAUAAUAUUAUUAACUACGAUAAAGAUAAUAUUCAUCAUUCCUUCCUCUUUGCAAAAAGUAAUUUUAAUUAGCUAAAUGAAAAAGAUGCAGUGUGCGUGUGUGUGCACGUGUUUUUGCAAUGUUCAGUUUCUUUGUCCUGUCAUUAUGUUUGAUUAGACUUAUAGUGUAAAUAUGUCGUGCAGAUGAGGGAACUGCUGGACGUUUUACAGCAUGCAACAACAUGUAACCCAAGCAAGAUUCAACCUUGCUUUUACCCGAACUGCCUCCAGAUGAAGAAGCUAUUAUACCAUGCAGAUAAGUGCACUGUUCGGGCUACUGGAGGUUGUCACUUCUGUAAGAAGGCAUGGAGCGGAUUGAUUCUGCAUUCGAUGAACUGUAGAAAACUAAAUUGUACCACACCACGUUGCAUGUGAGUUAUAUUCUUUGCAUUUAGCCACCACCCCCUUCCACACCAAAAAGGGGCUUGCUAUUUUGUUCUUAUAGCAUGACCAUAAUUGCUCUAAUUUUUCGCUCAUUUAUCGGAUUGAUUGGUGAUGAUUUUGAAGGGAUCUGAAGAAGCAUGCAGAAGAGCGUCGGUUGAAGAAUUAGUCAGGUGGCAGUGAGCAGUGAAGGUUGCUAACAGUUGAUAGUCUAAAAUGUACAGGAUAGGACAGGAUUGUCAACACCGGCAGCCGAGUGUAUAGAAAGUUGAGAAGCAGGAUAACUUGCAGCAUUAAGUAUUGCAGGGCUCAACGAUUUUGUCAAAUAAAAACACAGUGAAAUAUCGGUCUGAUACCGACCCCUUGUGUACAGACCUAGUAGCGUUCCUUCGGACGGCUUGUGAUUCGAGGCGUUGGUGUGGUUCCAACACAAUAGGCUUACAAAGGUAUGCUUUUGGUAGCUGGUUAAGGCUCUCCCUGAACAGCGUAGCGUAGUUUUCUUGGACGUCGGUAGAUGAACACAUGUUUAGAACAGGUAAAUCAGAAUCCUCUAGUUUGAGGUAAUCGCAAUUUUUAUGUCUUGUUCCCGUUCUUUGGGUUUCUGAUACGAUCUUCCGGUGACCCGGCAUUUAUGUAAUUUAUGUAAAUUCAAUGUUUAUUACUAUUUACCAGAAAGAGCUUUGUUGUGUCAUGUCUUGAUUUCUUUUCAUGUUUUGUAAUUAAUUUCAUCUAAACUCGUUAACUUUAUAGUUAUGACAGCGUCAUAUAUUACGAAAAAUCUAUUGUAGGGUAUUAGUACAUUUGAUACAUAAUUUAAAUGCUGGAAUUUGUCCUUUGAAAAGGGAAAUAUUGAAUGAAUUGAUUGUAAAUUGAUGUGUUCUCAUAUUUUUGGUACUCCACCUUCCAAAUACUAGGCAUUUUUAUAUAGUUUUGACCACCAAUUUAAGGCCCUUAACCUUUUUCUUUGCCAACUCAGGUUUAUAUGUUUUGCUCAAAACUCUUGUAUAACUUGGGCGGGCGAGAUAUAUAUAUAUAUUUCGGAAAGAGAUUCUCUCCUAAUCUCUCCCACCAAAGCUAUCUAAUCAAAUAAUCCAAACCUUUAAAAUUUAAUUCAACAGCUAAAGUUAUAACUUUUAAAGAGAUCCUCUGUUUUAGUCAUUUGAUCAAAUUUCAAAGGCCCGGAUUACUUGAUUAGGUGGUUUUGAUGGGAGAGAUUAAGAAAGGAUCUCUUUCCAUAUAUUUCAAUCGUCUAAUAUGAUGUACCAACAAAUAUGAUACAUACACAAUUUAAUGGACUCGGUUUCGUGAGAUAAUGGUUCUGCGAGAAUGACUCGAAAACAGUUUUUAUGAACAUAAAAAGGGCAUAAAUGUCGAUUCAACAGAGACGUAACUGAAAUACGAUUUUUCAUUAAACCGUUGAGCGUCAAAACAUAAAUGUUGGUUGUGACUAGAAGCUCCCGAACACAUCACCGUGGGUCUAACCCGAGAAUCGGGUAAGCCAUCUCGGCAGCCUCCGCCAUGUUAUAUAAUCUGGGUCACUGAAAUCAUCUAUCCUGUUAACUACUGUUGCAAAAUGCCAAACAUGAGAGAGAGAGAGAGAGAGAGAGAGAGAGAGAGAGAGAGAGAGAGAGAGAGCAUGCAUGCAGUUCAAACAAUCACUACCAGAAGGAAAUAAAGAUUACAAACAAUGUGGACGUGGAGGAGCUUUCAGUCCAGCAGUAUAAUAUGCACUGCCUACUGCUGCUGCUUCUGCUUCUGCUUCUGCUGCUACAAGAGAAUAAAUCUAGCUUUGUCUUUAGGACAAAAAAAACAAAAAUAAUAAGAAACAGCUCCAAUGUCUUCCUGGGUCCUAAACGAUAAAGAGUAAAGAGGGCAAAUAAACCCUAAUCCCUCCCACUGAAUUACUUCCAUGGUUCUAACUACACUUUAAUUGGUCAUGCACAAAUACUACCACAUUAUAAAAGCCAACAGCAAACCUAAAGUUGAUGCAGUCAAGUUCCCGUCCUCCAAAAUCCACGUGGCGGAAACAAGUCUAAACUCAUUAUGUUGUGAGGAAGGUCCAGAGCUUCUUUCCUAUUGAGGCUUGACCAGGAUGUUCAGAUGAUUCUUCUUCAUCAUCGUCAUCAUCUUCUUCAAUGGGAGUAGCUUCCCGGGAUUCACUCCUAUACUCAUCUCCUUCAACAUACUCCUGACCCCCUGCUGUUGAACCAUUCACCUCUUCACUCGCUACUGGAUUUUCUUCCUGAUUUUUCACUGCAUCUGCAUCACCAUCUUGCGUGUUUGCAAGAGUCUCGCACUGAGCACAAAAUAAAAAGAAACACCGCAUUAGAUAAGCAGUCAUGAUGCUUUUACUGACAAACCGUCUUCUGAAGAAGAGUGUCCAUAAAACAAAUACAAGGGUCGUGCAUGUGCACACGUGCCAUCUAGUGACAUUCUAAUGGGCCAGUGAAGAAACUCAUCGAACACUCACCCGCACAAAGUGUGAGCUUCCACCAUUCUCGCUAGCAACUCCCAUUGAAGUAGCAGGAGCAGCUUUGGAGUAAUGAAUCACUGCCUCCGUCCCUAUAGCUCCAUCAACCUCCUCAUUUUCUUUGACAAGGUCACGGGAGGCAGUUGCAGCAGCACCUCUGACUCCGCUGAGCAAAUAAUGAGAAAAAUAAAAACUUGGUUGCAUGGCAACGACCACCAGAUUUUCGUUAAGCUAGAAAAUGACUUUUACAUCUAUUAUCCAAUACACAAAACUCUAGAACCAUGCAGCAAAUAACAAUUCUAUUCAAGAAACUACAGCAGAUUGCUAUGUUUUUUACAUGGUACUACACUACAUAUACUCAAGAUAUAACAAUUUAAAGACUUACGUUUUCGGUCGCCGGAGAUUGUACCGACUUUCCCCUGGAACUUGUUCAGCUGGAAGAACUCUUUCUCGCUUCUUCUUGCGCUGGGAACCCAUGACAAUGUCAGAAAGUCUUUCACUAUCACCACCAUCACUCAGAGCAAUCUGAGAUGUCUCAGCGCGGCCGCGCUUCCGUCCAUUUCUUGUUGUUCUUUUGUCAGCAAGACUGGAACCACCAAGGCUUUCACUUUGCAUGUCGACGGAAUCCUCCGCAGUACCGUUUGCAUAUUCACUGUCAGCCUCCCCAAGUAUAGCCUUAGCAUCUUUGACAACUGCUUUCUUAGUGCGAGCUCUGGUUACUGCAGGCCUGCGACUCCUACUUGGCUUUCGACGACUACCCUUCAAAUCAGAAGGCUGAGAAUCUUCUGGGACAUCAGGUGGUGCCUCACUGUUCAUGUUGCUAUGCUCAUCAUGUGAAGGAUAUUGAACAACUUCGACCUCUCUGAUGCUGUUGUCAGAUUGAAUCCUCUGGACAUCAAAAGAAUCACUUGCAACUCCUAAAGAGAUCUCAGCCUCGUUUUCAGUGCCAUGCACUCUUUCGGAUGGCUCUUCAUUUUGCUCACCCGGAAAUGAUGCCUCGUUUGGAGAAUUUUGAGGAGCACCAAACUCGAUCUUUUUCCCUGGGGAGAGACUAAAAAUCUUUGUGGUGCAUUUACGAAGCCAAGAUAUAGUUCCACCAGAAACUGGAGACCUUGGUUCAGCAGCAGGAGACAUCUCAUUUUUUUGCCUCUUAGAAGCAGCCAGAUUUUCAUUGAGACCUCCCUUCAAAUAGUCAUCACUCAAUCUCGGCUGGGGAAUGACCUCUGCAUUUUCAAUUUCAGCUAAAGGUCGUAGCUGCACAAACUCCAAGAUCAUUUCACCACAAUUUGUGCAACUCUUGAGUUUCUCAAUAAAUGAAAUAAAGGAUUCUCUCUCCUUAAUAAACUGCUCACGCUGAUCUCUGAGUUUCCGGCUAAGGCCAAGAAGUCCAUCAAUGUCUUUUCUUAUCUCAACUUGUUGCCUUUCAAGAUGUUCCUUAUUUGCAUCAGCUUCUUGUCUUUCCUUUUCUAUUUUAAGCCUUUCAACUUUGAUUUCUUCCAUUUCCCUUCUAGCUACCUCUCUCAAGUAAUUAACAUUGUCUAGUUCUCUUUCUUGUUCUUCUGCAAAAGAUUUUUCUCUUUCACGCAAGGGUUUUUCCAUAUCCUCCAGCCGAUUCUGCAUAUCAGUUUCAAGCUCCCUUUUCCGUGUCUCAAAUUCAUGAAGCAUUUGGCUUCUCUCACUUUGAGCUUUCUCAGCUAAUUCUGACUUCUCAUGUUCCAUAUGGGCUGCAAAUGACUCCCUGGCCAGCUUAAGAUCCCCCUGCUCCAUUUCUAUAAAGUGUUGUGCCGCCACCCUUUCAUUUUUCAACCUUUCUUCUUCAGCAUGUUUCCAUUUUUCUAUUUCUUCCUUCUGUUCACCCACAUUCUUUAGUUCUUUCUCAAUCUCAACUCUUUUGUCAUCCAGUUCCUCCCACUCUCUCUCAAAAAGCUCCUUUUGCUGCUUCAAGUCUUCAGCUUCCUUCAGGAGCAGUUCUUUCUGUUGCCUGUACUUGUCAAUUUCCUGUUUUAAUUCUGACUGCAAGCGGAGAUAAUCUGACCUUUCUUCUUCAGUUACUUUGAGCAGAUCCCUCUGCUCACUAAUCUUCUGCAGCUGUUCCUCAUUAUCAGCCCUGAUCUUCUCAACUUCAGCCAGGAGCCUAACCAAAUCCUCUUUAUCAUUAACUAGUUGCUUCUUCUCGCUUUCCAAGUUCUUCUCCUCAGACUUAACAGACUUCUCCUUUUCCUUCAGGGAUUUCACUUUUGUUUCAAAGUCAUUCUCUUUCUCCCUGAGUUUUUCAGCUUUCUUUUCCAGAGCCUGCUCCCGUUUUGCAAUUUUCUCCUCCAAGUGAUUGAUUUCAGAUUCCUUUUUCUCCACAUCAACUGCCCUGUUUCUCAAUUCAUCAUCCAAGGAUUUUCUCCUUUCAUCAAUUUCCAACUCAAAUUCACAUUUCUUUGCAUCCAGCAUGGCAUUGUGUUCAUCAAUAAGCUUUUGGAUCUCAACCUGGCAAAAGAAAAGAGUUGGGGACCAUUAGAAUAAUGAUUUCACUCUCAUAUUUAUCCAUUUUUAACCUAAAAAAGUUUCAGCUUUUAGUUGUAAGUCAACUUUAAUGCCAUAGAAAAAACAGAGCAUCAUCACAUAAGGUUUAAGUAGUUAUUGGCCUUACUUUUUCUUUAGCAUUGAGAUUUUCUUCCCAUACAAGUAACUCCUUCUCCUUCAUCUCGAGGUUCAUUCUCAGACCAUCAUAUUCCUGCAUAUAAUAGAAACUUACUUAAACAAAUCAAUUAUGACAUUCAAAAACGCUCACACAUAAAUACAUAAAAUAUUCUUGCCUUCUCCUUCAGAGUUAGAUUUGCUAGCCUGUUGCUUAUAUCAUCUUCUUUCCUUUUCAAUGUCUCAUUAGUUGCAUCGAUCUUCCUCUGAGCAUCUUCCAGAUCCUUCUCUUUCUGCUUAAAACUCUUGUCAAUUUCAUUUGCCCUCUCCUCUCUUUGGUUGAGAAUUCUUUGGCCCUUGGCUAGCCUCUCUUCUCCCUCUUGCAAUUUCCUUUCCCAUUCUAGCAAGUCCUCCCUCCGCUUGGACAAAGAAGUCUCAUGUGCUUCCUGUCUGAGAAGAGACAAACUAGAUAAAUUAAGACAAGAAAUAACCUUGAUAUUGAGAAGUGGUCAACACUGCUUUAAUAAAAAUCAUAAAGAAAGAAAAAAAAAAUUAUUGUGAUAGAUUAUAGAAAACACCAGAAAGAAAAGUUCAAGAGCCUUGAUCUUACUCUGAACAAAAGGAUAACCGAUCUCUUCGAAUUGCACUUUCUCGAGACUCUAAGUCUUUCAAUUUCCUCUCAAUUUCUGAACUUUUUCGGUUCACUUCAGCAAGCUUGGCAUCAGCAGCAUGCAUCUUUGCCUCUAGCUCCAAUGAUUUCUCUUCUACACUAGCAACCAAAGCAUUUGCCUCGGCCAACUUUGAUUCAGCAGUAAACUUAAUUUCUGCAUUUUCCGAACGAAUCUCAUGUAGAGCCUUCUCUAGCUGCAAAGUUAAUGUACCAGAUAUUAGAAAAUCAACCACAAUCAGUUAACUUUCUAGAUGAGAGCAUGGACUUCCAAUAAUAACCGUCGAUUCUGAAGUUUAAAGUUUAGCCCACUCAAAAACAGAAAAGGCUGGUUUUCAUUUCAUAUAAAGUAAAAACACAUGUAUUUACUAAGAAACAAAAUGACAAAUACGUUGUAUGGUGAGCAUUCCUUAGUCAAUUGAAAGAUCUUAAGGGAAAGAAAAAAUUAACAACGAUUGUAUAUACCAAGAUCAAAUGGAUGUUUUCAUAGCCCUCCAAGGCUUUCUACAAACUGAUAAUUCGCCUAUUUAGCUGCUAGAGACAGAGAAUUAAAAUACCUAUAAAUAAUGUAAUUGUAGAAGAGUCAAAAACAAGAUUAGGAAGAUAAAUCUUACAUCAUGCACACAUUGUUUCUCAACCCCCAAGGCCUUCCUCAGAUUCUCCUCUCGCUUUUCGAUUUCUGUCAUUGCAAUCAAAUGGGCUGAUUGUUCUCUUCUGACGGCCUCUUUUGCUUCGUUUAAUGACUGCCUGACUUCUUCAUACUUAGAAGUCCACUCCUUCUUCUCAAUCAAGAGCAGACCCAUAUUGUACUGGUAUUCGAAAAGCUGUUCAAUAAAAAACAAUCAUUCAUAAGAAAAGCAUGCAUCAAACAAUUGGUAAUAGUAAAUUCCAUGCUUAAAAAAUGAAUCAUGUGCUAAAUUAUAAUGGCACAUCUAAAAAAGACGAAUGAAAAACCCGAAAUUUACAGGAAAAAACUGAAAAUUUGAAACUAGUAGAGCAAACAAAGCAUCACAAGAUUCAACAAGCACUCGACCAACCUCAUUUUCGAGCUCCGAAACCCUGUGAGCCAAGACUUCGCGGUCAGUGGCUGCGCCACCGGAUUCCACUAACAUCUUCCCCACAUUCUCAAGCAUGGAACCCGAAACUGGCGUCGCGGGUUCAAACAAGUUAACACCUUUGCCCUUCGCAACGAUCCCAUCCCCGGAGUUAGAGUUCGGAGCACCGGACCCGGUUCCGGUCUUCUCCGCCCCGGUUCUGGGCGUUCGAGACCAACCCGACCACCGUUGCGGCGUAAACAUCAAGAAACUCUCUAUAACAAUCCCAGAACGAUUACAGAUUGCAACUUCAACUUCAUAAGCGCAUGCACGCCGAAGCCAAUUCAACGAUUAGGGAAAAAAACCCUAAAUUUCAGAAACAGAAUUCCCGCCGGAGAAAAACCCUAAUUUGAGAAACGAAGUAGCGUUCAGGAGUGAAACCCCAAGCCAGGACCCGAUCAGAAUUCCAAAAUUCCGGCGAAUUGAAGUUUCGAAAUUCAGAUGAAAAUUGAGAAUUCUUGCUUCAGUAACACUCUCUCUCUCUGGUUUCCGUCUCUUAACAAGAAGCCCUAGUCCGGACGUGAACGGAGUUCCUAAAUUCCGGCGAAUAGGAUAUUUCAAGUCCGGAAACCUCCUCAGUAUCUCUCUCUCUCUCUCUCUUGUUUCUCUCUCUUCUCAGCCACCUUUGUGUGCUGGUGUGCGGAUUACUCACGUUCUUUCUUUUUUUAUUUCUGGGCCAGCGCGGAAUUUCAUGUUGAAACUACCAAUUUGCCCUUCGUUUUCAUAUAGUUGAACCGAUAGUAGUAGGGUAGUUUCGGAAUUCGAACCGGCUGGCUUUAUGGAAAGCAACGUGGGUGGCUCGAUUGUCUUGUAUGUAAAGACGAAGUUGCCCAUGGUUGGAAAUGCCCGUUUGGACUGGAAAAAUGCGUAAAUUGGGGGAGAGGUAGGGGCAUUUUGAUAAACCGGGCAUGUUCUCGUGUUUUCCAAAGAAUAUACCCGUGACAGUGUACCGAAAUGCCACGGUGUACGGGAGCUGUUAAGUUGGGAAAAAAAGGGGAUUAGGCCUUGAAGAUAAGCGUCUCUUUGUCGCAUGUGGCUUCUUCUUCAUCAUUGCCCACUUCCUUUUUCUGUUAAAAGUUUUUCAAAAUAUUUUAUCUGAGCAUUUUUUUUAUACAAAUGAUAUUAAGAUGGUGAAAUUUGAAUUCAAAUAUGUCAAACGCGAUAUAAGACGUUAUUAAUUAUUUGAGCUGAUCGGUCUUUUAUAUUUGGUUUCAAGAUGCUAAAACAAUUGGUAUGGUCUAGUUCGUUUCACUUUGAAUCACAAACCGAAACCCAAAUUGAAUAAUUAAUAUGUAUGGUUUGGUUUCAAUUUGACCAAUAAGUUCUAUUCAAUUUGGACUUGAACUCAUUUAAAUUUUGUUUGUUGAAUUUGUGACAUGAGAAACUCAAGCCUAAUACUCAACUCAUAUAUUAAUUCAUCAAUGAACUCAAAUAGAAACCCCCAAAAAAUGCAAUUACGAAAGCCUGAGGAACGAUGUUGUGAUUUUCACUCUAUUUUAUUUUUUUUACACUCUUUGAUUAGUUAAUAAUUUUUUAGAGUACUUGUGGAAUAAAAUGGGGUGUGGAAUUGUCAUCCUAUAUAGAUUAUAUAAAAACUAUUAAUAAAUUGAAAGAGUGUGUGAAGCAAAAUGUGAUGAGUGAAAAUAACCGUUCCAGAAAAAUCAGUUGUACAUCAAAACUAUAGAUUGACAUGAUAUAUGUGUUACAAUAUAACAUCUACAGACUUAUUUGAGAAUGUUUUGUAAGGUCCAAAUUCCCUUUAAAAAUAAGGUGUUUCCAAACCUUUGUUUACGGAAAAAUUUAAAGUGUUUAUGAUUUACACAUUGACUGAGGAAGCAAUUUUAAGUACUUAAAAAAAAAACACAUACAUUCCAAGCGAAUUUAGUAACAUCAAAAUCCUACCGUUAAACACAAAAUAUUCACCUUUUUACAUCCAACACUUUUACAUGAACAGAAAACCUGCCCCGGGAAAGAACGAAAAACCAAAAAGAAUCCAGCAUUGGUCUGAGAAAUGGUGUCAUCAACACUCCCCCUUUUAGUUUCUUGGCCAACUGGGUUGUUAUUUUUAUUCUUUUUUUGGAAUUUUGUAGUUAUUUUGGAAGUGGGGUUUUGUUUGUUUUCCAAUAGAAGUUGUGAUGCUUUUGCUUUUGGAAAAAGCAGGGUGCUUUACUUAGCAUUAUAAUCUGUGAGUUUAUGUAAAAUGCGGACUGUUUAAUAAGUUGGCGUGUCAGAUCAACAGUAUAUUCAUGGCUCACUCUAGAAUUCUGGUAGUUUGAAUUUCCAACGACACGAAUGCUAGGGAAAAGAAAAAUUAGAAAGAAGGUUGAUGGCUGGUAUAAUCUUGACGAAUUUUCGCUGCAUUACGGAGUAUUCAAUUUGAGCUUAAGUUAGCUGUAAUCUUAACGAAGUUACAUCAUUUCAUUACUAUUUCGUUGUUUUGCUUAAUGUAUGUGAUACUUCAGAUGAAAAUGAUGUUAGAGCUUCGCCAGAUGAUAUUAAGGAAUUGACUUAUGUUAACAUUGGCGGAGCCAGUUAAGGCCUAAGGCCUAGGAGGGUCUUAUGACCCUUCUCACAAUUUGGAAAUUAUGUAUUUAUAUGUGAUAUUGAUGUUGCUUGGCUGCUGUAUUUAUGGUUGAACCUCCUCACAAAUACAAUUUGCUCAUAAUUGAGGGUUCAACACUUAAUUUCAUAAUUUCUUUCUUUGCCACUUAAUCAAAUAAACAAUAUAUAACUUCAUGUCCUCAUACUCAUAUCAACUACUUUUAUUCGAAUUCGUAUCAAGAUGCAUAGGCUUGAUUGUUUUUCAUCAUUGUUGUAAAGCGUCACUUGCUGUAAUAUAAUUAAUUAAAUCAUAAUGAUAUCAAGGUUGUAAACUAAGAGUAUAUUUUAAGUUGAUACUUAUGAUCAUUUCUUAAGUAAUUUUUAUAUUUAAACUCAAAUUUAUCAUAAUUAUAUAGCUACUUAAAAUUGACCCUCCUUAACAAAAUUUCCGCCAUUGUUUGUUUGCAAGUAUGUAUGUUUUGAACCUCUUUGUGAUGGUUAUGCAGACAUUUGGCUGUUCGCUAAGGCAUCGCGGUGGUGGAGGCCGUAGAUUAGGUCGAGGUGGGCGAAGGAGUGGUGGUUACUACGGUAGUGGAUAGAGUGAUUAACGGCUAGUUAAAGACCAUUAAACAAUAAUAUUUAGAGGGAAGCCACGAGACCGUAACCCAACUAGCAAUUGACGGCAAGAGGGAGGAGCUUGCUCAAAGAGGAUUGGUCCCCAAUUGCAUGACAAACUCAAACAAGCCAAACAGUUACUAUGACUUAAGAAAGAACAUGCAACAUUUUACUAUAGUGGUGGAAAUGUGUUGAGCUCUUGCAUGACGACAUGAAUUCAAAUCUCGUCGAUGACUAAUCUAACAUCUAAUCUAACAAAAUUUAUCAUUUGACAAAAAAAAAAGGAAAAAUAAUUAAAAUGACUUGAAAACUUUGAGUUUUAACGAUAAAAACAAAAUAAAAAGUAAAAUGAAUAGUACCAUGAUUGAUUUUUUAAUGUAAAAUUAUGGUUUUUCGUUAAAAUGAACAGUAUCGAGAGCUUUUCAUUAAAAUUUCCAAAAAAAAGAAGAAGAAGAUAAUGAUUUUUUUGUUGAAUCUAGGGUUAUUUACAAAUUUGACAGGCAAUCAAGUCGCCUUACAACCAGCUUCUCUAAUUCUUACCCGAACAAUAUCACGUUUGCCAUUUAUUUUCGUCUUAGAUUUUAAUUGAUAGCCAUACUUAUACGAUGUUAACAAUUAUGUAAUUGAAUAUAAACAACAUUAAAAAUAAGAAUGAUGUUAACAAUUGUUGUUGUAUUGAGUGGUCGGACAUAAUAUGCCUUGAGAAGGUCUGUCUCAAGAUUCCGGUUGAAGAGACUCAACAACCCAAGAUUUCGGUUAAAAAUACUCAAUAAAUUGAAAUACAGAUAGCAACAAGUAAUGCUAUUCAUACCAUGUUUUUGUACUAUAUUUUCAUACAACCUUAGGUGGUAUUUGAUGUGGACAGCCACAUAAUUUGAAUUAAUCAGAUUUUUAAAUUUAAUUUAUUAUUUAAUAAACUAAUAAUUAAGAAAAAUAAGUUAAUCAACGUACCAAAAAACAAACAAAGAAGAAUGGUCCUACGUGGACUUGCUGACGUGUCGCAUCUCAGUCGAAGAAGCCUGAAAAUAUUUCAACCGCCGCCACCUCCCCCGUCCCAAUUGUUAAAGAAAGAAACAGUCAGCGCCAAAAAUCGAAACCCCCAAAUUAAACACCCCCCUUUUUUUUUCUGUCAGAACCCUAAUUUUUCCAUCUCUGAGAUUUCAAAGCUAAAGGAAGAAGAAGGAGAAGAAAUGGCGGCGGUUCCGGUCGUCCGCUUCCCGAUCUUGAGGGCGGUGAGAGUGAUAGGAGUGAUAGUGGCGGCUCUGGUGCUCACCUGGACCGUUCAUUUCCGCGGCGGAUUGGCUCUCAUCUCCGAUAACAAAGAUCUUAUUUUCAACGUACGUCUCUGCCGAAAUCCUCCUUUUCUCUCACUUUCUUCUCCUUAAAGUUUCAAUCUUGAUUUUUCAUAAUGUUUUGUAUAAUAUUAAUAUCUAUUGGGAAAUUAAUUUCGAAUUUUCUUUAAAGGUUGAUGGGUUUGCUUAGUCGACUUGUUCUCGGUACUGGGUUUAUCAUGUUAUUUGUUUUAGAGCUUAAUUGUUGUCAAUUUUGUGUUUCUCUUCUUUGCUUGUAUCUUAAGCUUGUUCCUUGUGGAUCCCCGCUGCACUCAGGUUCGAAUCCCCAUUCCCGUAGUUUAGAUUAGAUUAGAUUAGAUUAUCGUCCCGAUCAAUUUGUAGUCCAGUAUUAUCUUGAACUGGAAAUGAUGCUUCUUUGGUCAAUUUUCCUGGUUGUUUGAUCUAGGUGAAAUUUCUCUUUUGUACAUUAGUAUUUGGUGCUUUAAGCAUUUUUAGGUAUGGUAAAUCUUAUAUGGUUGUUGUGUUGCUUGUAGGUUCAUCCAGUAUUGAUGGUGAUUGGGCUGAUACUGUUAAAUGGAGAAGGUAAAUUUUCUGUUCUAUGGGAACUUGGCCCCGUAUCUAGUUACCGAUUUCUCAAUGGUGCCUCUUUCCCUGUAAUCUAGGCUUAAAGUUAUUGUGAUUGCCUUGGAUGAUUAUGCACUAGUACAAUGAGUUUCCUAGAAGCAUGCUAAGGAUGAAAAUGAUGAGUUUGAAGCGUUUGUGGAGGUCCAUAUGGUUCCUAAGUGAGAAAUUGAUUCACUUACAAGAGUUUCGCUAACUAUAAUCGUAAGUUAUAAAUGGUCUUGCUGGAUUUUAGAUGUACUCAGAUACUUUUCUUUUUUCCUCCUUUGCCAAGAGUUAUGUCUUAUCUUAUGUGAGAGCUAAGUAGAUUUUUUUGUUCUUGUGCUUCACUGACUGGUACUUUUGUUUUGUUUGCUUCUAAAAUGUGAAAUAAUUAUAUAGGGAAGUUAUUGACUAGCGGUAUGUUAACGAAAAUUAUUAUGAAUUUGAACAAUCCUGUGUUUCUGCAAUGAUGCAGCCAUGCUAGCAUACAAGACAGUUUCAGGACCAAAAAACUCGAAAAAGUUAGUUCAUCUUAUGCUACAAUUCCUUGCCUUUUGCUUAAGCAUCAUCGGUGUAUGGGCUGCUUUGAAGUUCCAUAACGAUAAGGGCAUUGACAACUUCUACAGCCUACAUUCGUGGCUGGGUCUAGCUUGCCUAUUCCUCUUCACCCUCCAGGUACCUUUAUAGUUUCUAUUUUUCUUCACCCGAGAAGAUAGCUUGUGCAACUGCUUUUAUUCAUUGUCAUUUUCUUUUUCACAGUGGGCUGCUGGAUUUGUAACGUAUUGGUUCCCGGGAGGCUCGAAACACAGCAGAGCUAACUUGCUGCCAUGGCAUGUAUUUUUCGGUGUUUAUACUUACGCCCUUGCAGUUGUUACUGUAACUACUGGUAUAUUAGAAAAAGUCACCUUCCUUCAAACCAACCAAGUUAUAUCACGCUAUUCGACGGAGGCCUUGCUCGUAAACUCUCUCGGAAUAUUGGUCGUUGUUCUGGGAGGUUUUGUUAUUCUUGCCGUUAUUACUCCGAUGAAUAAUAAUAAAGGUGAUGUUCUCAGAGGAUCAAAAGAGUAAGCACAAGCUGCAAAACUGUGCUUACUUAAGUUCACAAAGAAGGCAAAGGUUUACCCAAAAUAUGGAUUAUACAAGAUUUUGUUAUUGUAAAAAGAUGGUUGUAUGAUUAAAGUAACAAAUCCCUUUUGUUUGUUCCUUUCGGAUGAUUGUAUUUUCAAUGGCAUGAUGUUAUCCAUUCAAUACCGUUAUUAUCACUCCAAAAACCUCAUAAAAACGCGAGAAAUUUAAUACAUAGAGGAGUGCAAAUGACGUUUUUACGAGAAAAGAGAGAACAUGGCACUUCCGAACGGUUAACAUUGUGAUACUGCGAUUAAAUCAUCCAGAACCUGUGUACCAUAAGUUUAAAACAUCUGACUUGUGUAAGUUGUGUUUCACUGUAUGGCGAAAAGAAAAACAUCUGUCUCAACUCUCAAGCGCUUAAAAAAUGAACCUCAGGCUCUGGUCUCUUCUUGUAUGUUCAAUGAUUCUGAAUCCACUGAUACUAUCAUCCACACAAAAUUUCGGAGAAACCUUGCGGAAUCAUACGAUCCAUUUCCGAGAGGGCGCUUUUAAAUGAUCACAUCCACAAGUGUUCUCUUCUGUAUUCGCGCACAAUGACGGGCACACUUGUGGGUGGAACCUAAUAGAAGCAUGAAAACAUCGAGUCAUCACUCUUUUCCGAGAUAAAGGAUUGAAAAUGAGAAUACACAAUGAGUCGUAAUAACUGCAAGUUCAGAACAAUUACUUGAAGAAGAAAAGGAUUUACCAUGCCGUAAUCCGUGAUUAUCAUUGAAAUGUAAUCUGAAGGGACUGCAUCAUAACUGCCAAUAACAAGUUAAAACAGGAGUGCACAGUUAGUCCGGGUAGAUUAAAGCCGAGAAAUGUGAUAGCACGGAACAAUAAAUUUAUGAACACUUUACAUCAAAUUCAGAGGUUGAAUAUUUUCACAAUUCGAGUGUCCAUCCAAAGGAUUGCCUUCCUUUCUACCAGGAACCUUUAAAAUGACAUCGGGAUCACCUGCAAGAAGUGGAACAAUUACCUGAGAAUCAAGCAAACGGAGCAUGAAGUUAUCAUAAACUGUCACAAUGAUCACACCAAUUAAUGGCUAGGAUGCAUACCGAGCUCGUUACAGCAGAUGGAAUCAAGUUGUACCCUUUCGUGAAAUUUAUAUGCCUCACAACAUACUAAUACCGGUACAUGGAAUGCAUGUGCUACCAUAGCAACACAAGCAGUGCCAACCCUUGAGUAAACUGUUCCAUUGGACAGCACUGAAGAAGCACCUAGAAAAACUCGAGUAACCUCAUGCAUGAUACACGAAGCAGCAUUUAUAUGAGUGUAAGUACAGCUGAGGCCCUUUCCCACCAACCUACGAAGUAAACGCUGUCCUUCAAGCUUUGGACGAGAGUCUACCACCACAACACGAAACUGUUUGCCAAGCUCAUGGGCAUGUAAAAGCAACAUUUCAACUGCAGAGGAUGACCCGUACGUUAGAAGAACAUCACCAUCCCUGAUUUUGCUAACUGCAUGCUUGACUAUCACUUUAUCAGCAAGUAUGAUCUUCUCGGAUAUGAACCGUUCAAUAUCUGACUGGAGAGAUGCUUUUGCUUCUGACUCGGACAUAGUCAAAGGUAGCUUGGCAAUUCGGCUCUUUAGAAACCGCAUUGCAUUCCCCAUGGUGAUUGAAAGCGGCCUGCAGUCACUAAAAAAUGAAACAUAACUACUUAUUUUUGCUGUCAAAUCCCUACUGAGGUUUUUCUCUGGUGGUGUUGAAUAGUCUUUAAUGGCCUCCUGAAAUGCCAAAAGCAUGGCAAUACAACGAGCAUUGCCACCCGAUAUAUCUCCUGAUAAAUACUGUAAGCCAACCUGACAUCCGUACAGAAAGCUACAAUUAGAUAGAACCAUAAUCUCUUUCAUAAUCACAUUAACCUCUCAACUCAUCGAGCAAAAGACUCAAACCAUAACAUCAUGACUUAAGCAUCUAAAUACCUUAUAAACAGCAGGAUGCACAGGAUCAAGUUGGAAAAACUUAGACUCGAGAUCAGGAAGCUGAGUUCCAUGCUCGUAUUGAGGCAAAUGCCUGAACAACUCAACCCUGUUCCUGGCCUCAGUUUGCUUGACCACUGAACGCCUUUUCGCCUUCUCCACACGACUUGUAUCAUCAUAUUGCAUUCGCGGAUGAGGAACUUCUUUCUUCCUCUCUUUCUCCGGCAGAUGUUCACUGCCACCACCUCCGCCACCACCCGUCUUCUCAGAUACCGCCACAGAUGAUUGUGACACGAGUUUCGUGGCUUUAGGCGGUUUCACAUUUGCUGCUGCCGAAGCAGAAGCAGCAACAGAAGGUGUUUUACCUCCUUCAGCUAAUAACACAAUGCAAGGAACACAUUCAUAAUCAACAUAAGAAAUUCGAAUUCUUUGAAUUCAAUUACAUUUCUAUUAAAAACACUUGUGAAUCAGUAAAAGCCUAGAAAAGCCAUACCUUUUGAGGCAGCCUUAGCUGCUCGUUGAGCUUCCUGAACAGCCCGCCUUUCGGCUUUUGUGGUUUUCUCCUUCAGUGGCUUCGAAUUUGCAGCUCGCUCGCUUUGCACUUCCACUGACGCAUCAACAUCUUUCUCUGCAAAGUUUCAAUCUUUGUUUCUUCAAAUUUUGCAAUCCUAAAAUGCUUGAGCUAAACCAAAACCCCUAAUCAAAUCAAAGCAAACGAACAGCAAUCAGCAAUUACCAGAAAUCCCAGAAGGCAACUUGACCACGGAGACCGUCAUCAACCCACUGGCGGGGACGCUACUCGCCUUCACGGCAGCCGUCAGAUCGAACCCUCGACCAGGAAACGAAGACGACGUCGUCAAACCCGCAGCGGUUCUUACCCCUCUGAAUGCUCGACCCGGUGACAUAACGACGUCGGUUAGGAACUCGCCAUUCCCCAUCACGAUUCCGUUCGACGACGAAGCAGUAGGAGGCGAGGCGGGGAAGAACUCAGAAGAGUUGUUGUAACUCCCGGCGAGUAUGGACUCUCGACGGGCCGAGGAGGGUGCGAAAAGAACCGGACGGGUGGUGUCGGAGGAGUGACGCGGCGGGGGGAUCAUUACCGGAGAGAGGGAGUUACCGGAAGUAGAGAUGCCGGAGACGGGAGGAGAGGAGGAGUAGGCUAUGGGCUCGGGCGAGGCGAAGAAGCCGACUUGUCGGACCUUGGGGUCACUGACCGUGCGCGGGGGCCGGCGAGGGUCCAUUGGGGGUGUGGAGUGAGGGUUUUGGGGGGAGAAGCAGCAGAUAAAUACAGAGCCUGUGAAAAGGAAGUGGUAAGCAUUAUGCACACGACCAUUGACGAUGACAGAACAAGAUGCUCAAAAUAUUAUUCUUCUUUUUCAUUUUUUUUUUACUUGUGUGACUGCCGAAAUAAUCUACGUUUAAAUUGAUACCACUAGAUUUUAACAUUUAUAACACAAAAGGGUGUAGUUCAGUGACUUUUAUAGCGCGAAUGACAUUCAUAUUGAGGGCUCAGUUUAGGACCGGUGUAGUAAGUAAGCAUUUAUGCUUAUAAACGCUUUUUGUUUUUUACCAUAUCCAUUAAAUAUUACAUUGUAGUAGUAUUAUCUUCACUUGUAAACGAUAAGUUUUAGAUUCGAUUUUUGCUAACAGCAAAUUUGAAACACAUUAUUGCUAGCCCAAUGUGAAACUUAACUCACUUCCCCAUCCUUUAGUGUGGAUAAUAACGUUUGUUAAAAAAAAAGUGUUUUUACUAUAAACUAAAAUUCCAAGUGCUUUUUGUAAGAAAACACUUGGAAGUUCUUUUUGGAGAAGCAUUGGACAUGUGCUUCUCCACAAAAUGCUCUCUACGAGCUAGAGAUCUAGUGUUUACCUUUGCAUCCGAGAUUAUGUGUUUGUAUCCUCUCUCCCCUAAUGUCGUUUGUGUCAACCGAAAAAAGUGUACACGUGCAAUCUGAUGUUCAUAUUGUACGUAUUAAACAAGGGGAGGAGUGCAGAAAGAAAAAACGAGAGUGAACAUCACCACUUCGUUUAAGAUUGUUUUGAUGAGCAUGCUCAAUCCUCCCAUAAGCAUUAGCAAAAUCAUCUGAGGUUAGGAUUCUGGUAGAAUCAUUCACAUGGCCACAUGCAAGAUCAAGAGUUGGAGCUAAAUUUUCAAAAUAAAAUUGAAAGUACCAAAUAGGGGAACUGUAAUUGGAUAGAAGAUAACCCAAUACUACUCCAAAGUAAAUGUAACUCCACAAUAUCAAUGUCUGGACCUUUCAACUCAGCGUGACAGACAAUCACAAUUUAAGAACAACAUUGACACAAAAGUAUAAAUCCACCGCAAGAUACUAAUCCUCUUCUUUCGGCAAGAAAGUACGAGGAUCACAUAAAGCUUGGGGCGACUGGACCCUUCAACAGCCCAAGGCGAACUUCCAUUGCAUGAUGUGUGUCCACAGGCCGGAAUGUUUCAGAUUCACGGGGGUCUGCAAUCAGGACAAUGAAACAUAUAAGAAACCAACACAAUCAUACAAUUAAUGGGUUAAAAGAACGAAGCAACAGUUUGCGUUUCACUUGGUUAAAGAAAAUUAGAACAAUAUGAACUGCUUUCUUCCUAAGUUUUACCAUGAUCGUUUAAACUUAGCUUCUAUAAGAAUGCAAGGUCUAAAAUAUAUGCAUACCAACUCAAUUCCGAGGAUUGGCAUGGAAUUAAAACGAUAUAAGCCAAAUCUAGGGGUUUUCCACUCAAGAAGUUUUAACUCAUUACUUGUUACUUAAUGAUCCAUAAUUGUAAUAUUAGCAUCUUGAAGAUGGAAAGAAAUUAAAAGAAGAAUCAAAUUACAAAAUUCCUAAUGACAUCAACCCUAAUUAAAAACCAAUUGAUUAGAAGGAAAAAAAGGCUGCAUGUUCGAAAUUCAUGAGGAUUACUAUGGAUGUUUAAAAGAGAGAAUUACAAGAGGACCCUGAUUGGUGAGUUCUUUACAAAGAGGAACGUAAGAAGGCUCCGAUUGUAUCAUAAACAUUGAAGGAGUUCAAACAGAAACCAUGAACAGUUAAAGCUUAGGAUACCAAUAUUAUCUACUUUGUAUAUGAAGAGUAUUUUCUUACCAUUCAGGUAAUCCUCAAAGCCGAAAUCAUCCAAUUUUCCGGUCAUCGCCUCCAAACCCAGCAUUGAGGAAGGAAUUGGGCCAGCAGGCCUCUGAAAUCUGCAGUUGUUUCAAAGAAUAGAGUACAACUCAGAUUUAAAGUCCAUUACUGCAUGUGAUACAAAAAAAACAUAGUCACUAUAAUAAGCAGCACAUACAAAUACAUCCACGGUCAACCAACAAUAUAUGAACUUCAACCUCAGACUAAAAGACAAAAGAUUCUGUUAAGCUCUUGUUUUUUCACUCAUACUCGGUCUGGAUAUCUGAUACAACUAAAAAGUUAGCACAACAAAUGUAUAAAAACACCUCAAAUUGAUAGGGAACUGGUGUUUCCUUAUCUAUAUGGCAUAACUUGGAUCGCAAUCAGGCAUGGUAAAGACAUAAUCCAGCCAGUUAUAAUCAACUCAAUAUAGAGGACACGAAAGAACAUAGAUCACAAAUUCCCACCAUCUUAUUCCUGAUUGAACCAGUUUUUUUGUCAAUGAGUGAGAAAUAACGACACAAACCGGGCACAACCUAAGAGCAAAAACUGCACAAGAGAUUAACAUCUGCACAGACAGAACCACCAACAAAGCUCUAAUGCAAAACUUUCGUACUCGCAACCCUUAUGAUACAAAACCAACAAUCCCACAACGAUUCCAAACAAAACACACGACCUUGACCUUGUUUCGCAACAAGAAAGCGCAAUAGACAAACAUAACAAGAGAAAAAACCCUAACGUUUCAACAUAGCAACACACGUUUACUUCUACUCAAUUAUAAAAAAAAUAAGACAAACCCAUUACAACAAUUCACAAACAGAAGCCAGAAUUCGACAAAAACACGAAUCCCAUACCGAGAAAGGAUUUGCCUUUCGAGAUCCAUCUUCAAUGGAAACGCACUUCCAUAAGUGUACCCCAAGAUUUUCCUAUUUAUCUGCUCCUGCGUUACCUUCGCCUAAAACCCAACAAACAAAUAAACCCAAAUAAACAAAAUUUAAUCACACAUCUUCAAUUCCAAACAAACAACAACAAAAACCAAGAGAGAGAAAGAGAGCAAGAGAGAGAGAGAGGGAAAAUACCGAUUCCAAAGCAGAUUCGAGAGGGUGAGCGCCGACGAGGUCGCUCUUGACGCCGUGAAGUCCGAAUCGAAGGGCGUCGUUCUGGAUCCCUCCGAUUUGGUGCUCGAUUGUCUUCGGUGCCUCCAUUUAGCUUUCUCUGGUUCUUCCUCUUCUUCUUCUUCUUCUUCUUCUUUUUCAGCAAGCAAUGUGACUGCUACAAGUACAAAUAGGUACUCUUUUCUCCCCCAUUUAACUACGAUUUUUGGGUUGGGUCAAUUGGGCUUUAGCUACUACCUAUGUGGGCUCAGUUGAGGCCCAUUGUAUUUAGUGUUGGGCCAGACGAUUGUGGUUGUGUUUGCUUAUAUGGUCUGGUUAUCCUAUAGUCCUUGUGUAAUUCUUUUUCUUUAAUUUCAUUUUCUGUCAAUUCUGUGUAAUUUGGGUGAUCAUUAUGUUGAUUUUUCCUAUGGACAAUAUUUAACCCAUUACUAGUCCAGAUUCUGGGCUCGUUCUUUGGCAAAGAUGCUUCUAAGAGAAGUGAUUUUAAUUGAAGCACGUUGAGUUUUUUUUUUUUAAUUUUAAAUAAAAUUAUAAGCACCUGUGAACAGAAAAUAGUUAGAAGAGUUUUUGGUGAUUGAUACAUGGUAUUACAGUAAAUGUUUCUUAAUUUUUAAAACUCAAUGGUUUGAGUUAUCAUUUUUCAUGAGUGAAAAAAGUUCGAAGUUUAAAUUCCAGAAGGAUAUGCGUUACCAUUAGUCCAUAUGACUGGGUAAGAAAACUAUGUUUGAAGUGUUUUCGAGUAAGAAAAUCGAGUUUUGAGGAGCUUGCGUGUGAAGAACACAUAAACACUUAAUUUAGAAAAAAAGAAAAAGAAAUCUUUAAGUUAACACUUCAGAGUUUCAGAGAAGCAAAGGGCAUCAAAGAAAUAUCAUAAUGAAGAACAUAAAAAGUGAAUUCUAUAGAUGAGGAGUUUUUUCUCCGAUUGAGCUCUUGUAUAAAAUGCAUAAUUGUUGGGGACUUUUUUUUCUUCUGAUUUUCUAGGAAAGUAAAUUAGUUGCUUCAGUUCAGCUUGAACUUCCAAUCCUAAACCUAAAAUCAUGUGCAAACACAAAUUUCCUGUAGCAAAUGAAAUAAGAACACGUAUACAAAAUAAUUGUAUUGUAUUAAUGUAAAUGUAAGGUUGCAAUCUCUGUUUACAAAGUUUCCUCUUAUUCGUUCUCCGAAGAUGUGUAGAUGUGUGUUGUUGAUUCGAGGGUUGCAAUGACUUGAUCUCGGAUGAAUGAUUGCUGCAAGGAUUUAGCUUGUGGUGAUGGAAGAACCGGGAGAGUAGUAGUGCUUGAUGAUUCUUUAUGGGUUUGACGAAAAUCAGGGAGGGUUUUCCGAGUCUUCUUGAUUAUUUGGGGUUCGAGUGCUUGAGAGCUUCAGAGUUUCAAAGCUUCAACGUCUGGGCGUGAAUGAUUUUCUGGCCUGUUUCUUUGUCUUGGAGUCUCGUAUUUAUAAACUCUCAAAGCUUUGCUUAUGGAUGGAUUUGACAUUGAUUGUGGGCUUGAUUAAUUGAUAAAAGAAGCUUGACUCGAUUUGUGGACCAAUUCGUAAUUUGACUCCAUCAAUUACAUUUGAUUUAAUUAAAUUAAAAUCAAAUAAUUCUUUUCCGUCAAGUGUUGACACGUAUCUUUCUUGAUGAUUUGUCUAAAUUUGAUGAGUCACAUCCAUGUGUACACUUGUGAGAUGCAUGACGUAUGUCGCGUAUGCCCUGACAUAUCGAAACUUUUAAUGUAUUGAAGAGUAUUUGUUUCACCGAAAUUUUAAUGUCUACACUAUGAUGAAAGAACAUAAAAGUGAUCAUGAUGAAAAUGAAAGCUAUUCAGUGGCUACAGUGUUGCCCAGAUCUCUUACCCACCUACUAUCGAUCAGCUAGCUUUCUGGUGCACCGUGUUUCCAUAUUUCCACAUUUCCGGACUUCCAAAAGCAGAUUCUGCUGGGUAUUAUAUUAGAUAUGGGGUACUUCUGUGUACACUCGCUGAAAAGUCAGCAAUUAUUAUAUUAGAUUUUGACAUAAAUCAAUCGCUUUGCAUUUGAUAUAUGCAGAGAGAGACUAGGUCUCAGCUCUCUGGUACCAGUGUCCAUAACCUUUCUGUCUCCAGUCCAGUUCGGCAGGGUUUUUUAUGUAUAAAAAACUGGUCAUUGACGAACUACCAGUGCUGCCACUGUGUAUUAUGUAUUGCCAUGCCCAACUGAUCGAAGGCGUGGUUUGAAGCUGUUGGAAAUUAUAUAUUAUCUUUCAUAUUAUAAUAUUUAAUUUUUAUAUGAAUGAAGAAUAAGAGUUAUGUAUUAUAGAUGAAUUCAAAUUUAUGAGUUGCGUCUGUUCGUUGAAAUUUUAAGCAACAGUCACAAUGUUUUAAAAAUGAUAGCUUGAGUUUUCUACAAACUCAAACAUCCCACAAAUCUAAUGGACCGAAGAAAAGAGUUUUCUCCAAUGUCUUUUAUUAUUUGUUAGUCAAAAUUUGAGUCGUGUAUUGAGAGUACAGAAUAUAUGAAGUUUGUCAGAGUUCGAAGAUUGAAGUGCUUUGACUUCCACUAUUCUAUGUACCUCACUCUCUGAUUAACUCCAAUGGCUGUUCUUGCAUGAAUCAUAUGAAGGCUCUCUCAGUUUCAGGUAACUUUCCACAUUUAUAUCGUUAUUUUUUUUGGUGAAUUUGUUCUGUUUUUCUUUUCCACUAAGAUUCGAACUGAACUUGGUUCUAUCUUUUUCUGCUAUCUUCACCCAGUUACCUGAAUAUAUCGUCUCUUGAUGUGUGGUGUUGUUUCGUAAUUUUGAUGAUAUUUCAUUUGAUCUGUCUGGUCUGUCUGGUCUCCGGUGAAAAUAUUUGAUUUUCCAAUGUUACUAUGAAGAAAGGUGGCGGGAGAGAAAUGAAGAAAUUAAAACAAAAUUUUGAAGGUGAAAAAAGAAGAAGACAACAAUAAAACCAAUAACAAAAAUGAAAUGGUUAAUAAAUGAAAACGGGCACUCAGUUUUCAAUUUUUUGUUUUUAAUUUUCUCUGAAAACUUGUUUGAUAAAUAUUUUCAUGAAAAUUAGAAACAAAAAUUAAGCUAAAAUUUGAAAUCUAAACAAAGUAGCUUUUAGUUUUUCAAAAACUAAAAGUGAAAAGAUUAUUAAACAACAAAGAUUCACUUGUGGUGAAACUGCAAGACGCUCGAUUAAGCAUAUCUAAAACUACGUUAAUGAAACUUUAUUUGUCAACUAUAAGAUGGUGAAAAGACAUCUUUGUUCACAACAAAAAUGUUAAAGACAGUAAUGUAAUUUCACAAGGCAAAAUUUUUCUUUUUUUUUAAUCCUCACCUACAUGUAAUGUUAUCAUUUCUAACCUCUCUCUUUCGAUUUUAACAACAAAAGUAAAAAAAAUUCACACUUUGUGUGUAGGCAUAUACUAGUACAUGUAUAACUAGAGAGUAGAUAAUGUUCUCUUUCGAAGUAGCAACCAUGAUCGAUCAUAGUUUUUAAUACAUAUAUAAUAAAAGAGUAAUUCUAGAGAAAUCAUAUAUAUACACCAUAUUAGUAUAUUAUAUGAUGUGGCAAAUGAUGUCUACAACAAAAAUCCAAAGAGAUAAACUCUUUAAUUGACAUGUACACGUCACUUGUCAUAUAAAAUGGUAAACAAAUGUGAUACAACAAUAUGGCUUCCAUAACAUUAGAACAAUGAUAUACAAAGAGUGGAGAUUUAGGAAAAGUCACACAAUGAGUUGAUUAUUAUAUUUUGAACUUACCAUCUAUAUAAUCAGUCAAACCUGAGAUAUUUGAUUUACUAGUGAAGAAAAAUACACUAAAUUGGUGACCACACUACUCUCUUACUUCUUAGAAGUGCUAUCUAUUGACUCACUGUAGACAGUCAGAUCUAAAAAUAAAAAAUUAGAUGACAUACUUCCUAAAUGUCUAGGGCUAGCUAGCUUGAGAAAGGGGGGAAGGAAGGACAGGGGAAGCUAGGGUAGAUGGGAAGACAGAUACAUGCACGCUUAAACGAUUUUCAUGAUCCUCUAUCUACACUUCUUUUCAGUUUCUCUAGCAAUUUAACUUCAAGCUAAACUAGUACGAACUAAAAUUAGGUUGUGUUCCCAGAUCAGGAUACAGAGAUCAAACUUCAAAAUAUCUUGGUAAACCUCUUACCGCACGUGAUAUUGCUAGUGGAAAUAUCUCCAUGUAUGUACGUGUGUAACAUAUAAUUAGAGCUUUAGCAAUUUCCUUACGGAGCGAUUAAAUACAGGACCAUGAAUUUAAUGAAUUUGACCCAUUGAAAUACUAUAUAUGUACAUUAUAACUUCAAAACAUAAAUGUUGUAUUUAUAUGUGUGCGUUUUUUAAUGCAUUUCAUAAUAGAAACUAGCUGAUGCACAUACUCUGUGUGUGUGUGAACAAUUUCAUUUUAUUUUUUUGUUUUUUUAUUAAGGAGUGUGAUUAGUUUUUAAAAUUUUAAAAAGAGUAUGAAAAAAUGAUGGUAUGACAAUUUCACUUAAUAAGUGCAUAUUUUAUCUAAAUAUUACAUAAUUACUAUUUUGUCCUCCUUAUGUAAAUAUUGUGUAUCAAAAGUGAGGGUAAAAUAGAAAAAAUAGGGAUAUGAUUAUCAUUUUCUCAAAAGAUACUAAAUUACUAUUGUGCCCUCAUUAUGUAAGUAUUGUGUAUCAAAAGUGAGGGCAAAACGGGAAAAAUGGGAUAAAAAGUUAACAAGGAGGGUUCUCUUAAUAGUAAUAAUAAUAAUAUAUAGAUAUAGACAACAUAACCAGCUCCAGGAAGAGAAAACAGGAAACAUCGUCAAUCUUCAAAAUAAAUGCAUAUAUAUGUAAACAUGAGAAAGAACAAUAUCUAAUUCUCCGCACAGGAUUAACUUAUUCGGUAUAAGUUUUUUUUUUUUUUUUUCUCAUGUGCAAAUUAAAGAGAGCUUUAUAAGUAGAUUAAAAAUUGUGUUUUGAACUAUUACAACAUCAAAGAUUUCCCAGCCAAAGAAAAAGAAAACCAUUGCCAGGGCCACCGUUUUUGCCAAAUUUUCUCCUUACUAAAAUACUUUAGUUAUACACAUGCGAUCAGUAUCUUGAAUAAAUUUUUUACACAAUUCAUAAAGAACAAAAUUCGGUGAGGGCAUCGUUAUCCUUGGACCUUGACUAUAUUGUUUACCAAGAUUUGUUUGAUUAUUCUUCCACAAACUUCUUAAUCAAAGCAUAAACAUGUUCAUCACACACCUUGUGCAAUAGUCCAUCUGGCUAGCUGUUGAAUACUAAUAUAUCCAUAUCAAUUCGAUCGACAAGAAGCUAUAGCCUAUAUAUUACUGCGAAAUUCAAGAUAUUGCAAUUAGCCAAGAAAGUGCAUGCAAAUCUGCAUAACUAACCUAGCAGCAAGUAUUAACUGUUUCCAUGGAAAUCUGGCUUACUUUUAUGAGAUUGCUACAGUCUUGCUUAAUUUCCAAGGAGCCUUUAGCAUAACAAGCUAGGAAGGAGGAAAUAAAACCAGAAACAAAGGGGAAUAGAAAUUUCACAUUCCUCAUCCCACAGAUCUGCUAUAAACCUUUCCACCUUGGAAAAGAAACCACAAUUCGAUAGGCAUCCAUUUUUAAUUGUAUGAAUUGGGUGAAAUCCAUGACAAAUAUCAAACAGGGAACAAGUAUCAUGUAAUAUUUAUCAAACAGGGAACAACUAUCAGGUGAUAUUUAUUUUUUAUCAAAUAGGGAACAACUAUCAUGUAAUAUUGGUCAUGAUGAAUCCCAUUACAGCAAGCAUGUUCAUCAAGUAUCUCCUGGCACUGUUCCUUUUCUUUGAAGAUAUCACUAGUUAAAUCAGAUACCAAUUGUCAGAACAUGAAUAUAUACCCUAUGUGGUGAGUUUGAUUGUUUAUAGCAUAUCUAUCCCCGCUUAAAUUGUACCUUUUUAAAAUUAGAACAGAAAUGUUUACAUCAUAAGUUAAAACAAAACAAAAAAAGACGUUAUAACUAAUUAACAAAUAUCUCAUCAAUGUCAUCAGUAUUAGUCAUUUGUUGUUUUCACCAGGGAUGUGGUUUUGACAUAAAUCAAUGCAUGCUUGUAGGGGUCUAUAUGUAAUUCUGAUCCAGUACUAGUUAUAUGCAUUGCUAAGGAAACCUAUCUUCAAUUGGAUCAUUAUGGUAACUCUUGAGGAGCUGAAAAACAGUGGAACAGGUGACUCAAUAGAUAUAUUAAUGUGCAAUCAAAGAAAUACAUGAACAAAAAUCUAGCUUACUUCUUUGAUCGAAGUUAAUAAUUUGGAAGAUAAUCAAUAAAUUCGCCGGAUAAUUCCACAAUUAGGCCUCCCAAGAUUUCAGUUCCUGCAGAUUGACAUCUUAAUCAUUAAAUCUGGAAUCGAAAAAUAAAUAAUUAAGGAGAGGCAUGGCUACAAUAGAUAUGUGUAUAUGUAUACCAGUGGAAAUUAAGAUUGAUGGUGGCGAUGGCACAAUUAAUGCUAGGGCAUUGGGAAAGCGCCAUUGAUGUCCCAAUUUUGAGAAGCAUUGGGAAAUUGGAGGUGGCUGUUGCUGGAACUCUGAUCAGUAGUAUUAUAAUUGGAAACUACUGAUGAAAAUGACUUCAUUUUGUUUCUUUUGAUCAAAGCAGAUUGAUCCUCCUCGUGACGAUGAUGGUGAUGAGCUUGAUUAGCCAAGAGGGAUCCCAGUUCUUGAUUCACACGAUGAUCUCCAAAAUUAACCUUCGACGAGGAUGAGAUGUUUGUUUCGUGCUCAUCAAGCUGCUCAAUCAAUAAGUUCAAUUGGUUCAACAUCUGAUGAGGCCUCCUACUAGUAGUGCACAUCUUUUUCUCUCUUGUCCUUUCCCUUGCCUUUGCUCUUGCCUUUGCCCUCGACUCUUUCGCAACAUAAGCUCCAGCAGAUUUAGAUUCGCUCAACUUCUUCAUCAUCACCAUCUCUUUUUCUUUGCUCAAUACAUGGUUUUCCACCUCGUUUAUGUCCGAAACAACCUCGUCGCACUCGGAAGUGGAAGACAAACUCUUGGACCGCUCAGAACUGCAGCUCAAGUUCUUCUUCUGUGUUCCGAGAUCCCUGAUGGCCUUUCUGGACUUUUUUAGUAGCCACUCGAUGGUUUUACUUGCCCUGUCAAGCCCUAGCAGGUCUUGGAGGUCAAAGAACUGACGGGCAACGUUGAGGGAGAGCCUCACCCUACGGUCCCUCAAACCCUGAGCGGUGAAGAUCUUGCUGUGCCGGUCUUUCUUCAUCUCGGCCGGUGCUACUACUAAAUCUUCCCUAGAAGAAUGAAGAAAAUAAGGAAUAAUAUUAUCAUUACUAAUGCUACCAUAGUUACUAUGGUAGUACUGAUGAUGAUGAAGAUGAUCUCCACAAGAGGAUGAUAUGGUAGAGUUUAUAAUACCAGGCACAGUGUUUGAUGAAACUCCCAAAUGGGUUAGGGUUUGAUGAGAAGGAGGCGCCAUUAAAGCAAUAUUUUGGUGUGAAAAUUGACCAGAGAGGGGAUCAGGAAUGUGAUGAAGGAAAGUGUCUCCGGUGCAGGUUUCUAGGUUUGCACAAGGAGGAGGAGGAGGAGGAGGAGGGUAAUUUGAAGAAGAAGAAGAAGAAAAGGGAAAGUUAUGUUGAAAAGGAAUUACAGUAUUACUAUUAUAACUGGAGGAUGAAAACAUGAUUUCUUUUUCCUCGGGCUGUUAGGCAGUCCUUAUACAAUAUAAUACCUUUGUUAAGAGAGCCUCUUCUUCUUUUGAACACUAGAAAGAAAUUAUCCUAAUUUCGAACAGGUAAAGAGAGCUUCUUCAUACCCAUUGAACUUCUCAAGACUUCGCUUUUCAUACUCACUUUCUCACUGCAACUUCAGAUCCAUCUGUGUUCUUAAAAAGAAGAUCAAGGGGAGUGAGCUCUGCUGUGAAAGAUGCAUGGUACCGGAUAUAUAAACACGGAAGCACUAAUAAGUGGGGGAUUGAUUUGUUUGUGUUGGAGACAUCUGAAAGAUGGGUUUUUGGCUGUUUCUGCUGUUCUUCCUUUCUCUUGUUUUUGUUUUUGUUUUGUUUUUUUUUUUUUCCGGUGUACUGUUUCUUGGGCAAAGUCUUGAAGGUACAAUAUUUGGAAUAAGCAAUAAGGAUCUUCUCCGGAUCCUCUUGGUAAGGAUCUCGGGAGUCAAAUAUUUUGUUAUCGUAAAUUAUGUGGUAAAAAAUUAUUUAAAAUUGAAUACAAACAAAUAAGAAAAAUUGAUUUCACAAUAUACGAUAAAUAAAUAUGAUUUACGAAUUUUCGAAAUUCUCACAAAAAUGAUCGGAUUCCAAUUUUUGGGUUUCAUUGAGGGUGAUGUGUCACCGGACAUGUAAGGCGCAAAAUAUGUGGGUUUGUGCCACUUAAUGUGGAAAUACCAUACCCAACCAAAACUGAUGGGAAAUUUGACAACCCAACUUUUAGACCCGUUAAAAUUUCCAGAAAAGGGCAAGACCACAUUUCAUUAACUAGGGUUAGGUUAGGCAAUACCUCAGCCUAGAUAAUAAUUUCCAAGCACAUUUUUUUCUCUUUCUACAUGGUUCAGGUAGUUUUUCUGACUUAAUUUUUAUUUAUUUAUUCAAUUUAAAGAUCAAAAUAGAGGAAUGUAUAAGAGGAAAAAAAAUUCUUAUAAAAAAAUGUAAGAGAAGAAAAAAAAAAAAGACUGGAAAUCAUUCCCCAACUAGAUAAUGCCUCUUGAAGAAUUUGAAAAUCAAAAUGGCGUAAGCUUCUUAUGGCGCGUUUACUAAUCCGUAAUCAGAUUGAGAGGAAUUGAAUUGAGGAGGAAUUGAAUUACGGAGGAAUUGGAAUGAGGUGGAAGUAGAAUCAGAUUCUUGUUGAAGUUGUUUACUAAAACUGUCUGGAAUCGAAGAAGAAUGAUGUUGGUUCUAUAUAAGUUGUUUACUAAUUCACUGGAAUCAGAAUUAAAACUAGCUUGAUUACUAAAUUGCCCUUAUAUAAAUAAAUUAUUUUUAUACUAAUUAAUCAAACUAAUUUUAGAUACCAAAAUUUAUCUAUAUAAAACUAAUUAAAGAGGUUUCUUUUUGUACCCAAAACCCUUGUGUCUGUCUCUGUCUCCUCCACACUGGCCUUUCAUCCUAAAGGCCUUAUUUCCCCAGUCGCAACAACCCUCCCCCAUCCCCGCCUUUCCUUGCCCUCCACCCCACUUACCCCCAUAGCCACCGCCCCUAGCCCCAAUUUCUGAAACCCUCUAUCUCUCUCCUCCGUGCCCUCCCUCUUCGCUUUCUCGGUUACUCCCGCGAUGGUUCACAACGCUGUUCAAUCCAAUGCGUCUGUGAAAGCCGGUGAGUGGGUCAAAGUUUAGAGAUCUCAUAUAUGCUUCCUGAGCGGGUCGCCUACUACUGAUCGUAGUGGGUAUGAUGUUUGGCUGAUGGGUUAUUUUUUUUUUUCUUUUCAUUUUCUCUAAAUUUGAAAUUUUGAUUGUUGAAGUUGAGGAUGGGUGUGAUAAUUCUACAUAUGGUGGCUGUUAUAUUUGUGGUUGAUUAGGGAAAGACAGAAGAGAGGGUGGUCUAGGGUUGCAGAAAACUGCAAUGAGUGUUUCGGAAUUAGAAAAAAGUAUGGGGGUAAUAUUGGUACAAAAGAUGGAUUCCUGAUAGGCUUCAUUUCGAGGAAUUCAAUUACCACCUCAAUGUCAAGAAUUGAAUUUCGGAAGUUUGGGGAAUCUGAUUCCCCAAAUCAAGUGGGUCCCAUGCACUUUUUUCAUUCCCAGGUGUUAGUAAACAGAGGAAUGAUCAGGAAUGUGGAUUGAUUCCCAUUCCUCCAUACCCAUUCCCUAUAUGUAAACGCGCCAUUAUUGUAGGUGGGAUAUACUUCUUUUUUGCUCUUUUAUUUGUCAAUUAAGCAUCAUCUUGCGACAUGAUGAAAUGGUAUUUUAAUUUUAAUAUGUUAAUUAUUAUUGAUGUUAAUAUAACACGUAGUCUCUCUGAUUCAUUACGUAUCAUAAGAAUCGUGUAUACACAAAAGUUUCUCCAUUGUUGACAGAUAAAUUAAUCUAACAUAUACUCUUGGGUUCGUACUUCUUAAAAGGGAGCCUAAUUCAUUAUGACCAUUACAAACAGAGGAAGCCUUUAAAGGAAGGGAUCUUCAUUUUUUUUCUUCUUAUAAAAGUGGGGAUUAGUUGUGGGGUCCACACGAUAUCGAAUUUUAACAAUCUGAACUAUUUAUUUUUCAAGUUGCACCUCAUAGAUCAUCCUUGCAAAAUAUUAACCAAAACAAAAAUAUUUAAGACAUCUAAUUGGGUUAAAAAUAAUUAACGAAUACUUUGUUAUAUAAGAAUGAUCUUCAUAAUUAUAUUGGCAAAUGAUUUUGGAUUGAAUUGAAUUUUUGUAAGGAUGAUCUAUGAAUCGAGACUUACAAAUUAGACGGUUCAGAUUAUUGAAGUUCGAUGUCGAGUGGAUUCCACACCCAGUCCCCACUUUUUGUAAAAAAUAGAGAUCCCUUUGCAUAAAUGGCAUGUACAAACAUAUAUUCUGUAUUUGUCAUACAAAUAUUAAGCAUGCAAACGAUCAAAGCUUUCUAUUUAUUUGGAAAAGAAAAAACUAAUGAAUCUUUAGGUUUACCAAGAUUUGUUUGAUUAUUCUUCCACAAACUUCUUAAUCAAAGCAUAAACAUGUUCAUCACACACCUUGUGCAAUAGUCCACCUGGCUAGCUGUUGAAUACUAAUAUAUCCUUAUCAAUUCGAUCGACAAGAAGCUAUAGCCUUAUAUAUUACUGUGAAAUUCAAGAUAUUGCAAUUAGCCAAGAAAUUGCAUGCAAAUCUGCACAACUAACCUAGCAGCAAGUAUUAACUAUUUCCAUGGAAAUCUGGCUUACUUUUAUGAGAUUGCUACAGUCUUGCUUAAUUUCCAAGGAGCCUUUAGCAUAACAAGCUAGGAAGGAGGAAAUAAAACCAGAAACAAAGGGGGAAUAGAAAUUUCACAUUCCUCAUCCCAUAAAUCUGCUAUAAACCUUUUCACCUUGGAAAAGAAACCAUAAUUCGAUAGGCAUCCAUCUUUAAUUUUAUGGUUGUUGUAGUAAAGAUGAAUUGUGCGAAAUCCAUGACAAAUAUCAAACAGGGAACAAGUAUCAUGUAAUAUUUAUCAAACAGGGAACAACUAUUAGGUGAUAUUUAUUUUUAUCAAACAGGGAACAACUAUCAUGUAAUAUUGGUCAUGAUGAAUCCCAUUACAGCAAGCAUGUUCAUCAAGUAUCUCCUGGCACUGUUCCUUUUCUUUGAAGAUAUCACUAGUUAAAUCAGAUACCAAUUGUCAGAACAUGAAUAUAUACCCUAUGUGGUGAGUUUGAUUGUUUAUAGCAUAUCUAUCCCCGCUUAAAUUGUACCUUUUUAAAAUUAGAACAGAAAUGUUUACAUCAUAAGUUAAAACAAAACAAAAAAAAGACGUUAUAACUAAUUAACAAAUAUCUCAUCAAUGUCAUCAGUAUUAGUCAUUUGUUGUUUUCACCAGGGAUGUGGUUUUGACAUAAAUCAAUGCAUGCUUGUAGGGGUCUAUAUGUAAUUCUGAUCCAGUACUAGUUAUAUGCAUUGCUAAGGAAACCUAUCUUCAAUUGGAUCAUUAUGGUAACUCUUGAGGAGCUGAAAAAACAGUGGGAACAGGUGACUCAAUAGAUAUAUUAAUGUGCAAUCAAAGAAAUACAUGAACAAAAAUCUAGCUUACUUCUUUGAUCGAAGUUAAUAAUUUGGAAGAUAAUCAAUAAAUUCGCCGGAUAAUUCCACAAUUAGGCCUCCCAAGAUUUCAGUUCCUGCAGAUUGACAUCUUAAUCAUUAAAUCUGGAAUCGAAAAAUAAAUAAUUAAGGAGAGGCAUGGCUACAAUAGAUAUGUGUAUAUGUAUACCAGUGGAAAUUAAGAUUGAUGGUGGCGAUGGCACAAUUAAUGCUAGGGCAUUGGGAAAGCGCCAUUGAUGUCCCAAUUUUGAGAAGCAUUGGGAAAUUGGAGGUGGCUAUUGCUGGAACUCUGAUCAGUAGUAUUAUAAUUGGAAACUACUGAUGAAAAUGACUUCAUUUUGUUUCUUUUGAUCAAAGCAGAUUGAUCCUCCUCGUGACGAUGAUGGUGAUGAGCUUGAUUAGCCAAGAGGGAUCCCAGUUCUUGAUUCACACGAUGAUCUCCAAAAUUAACCUUCGACGAGGAUGAGAUGUUUGUUUCGUGAUCAUCAAGCUGCUCAAUCAAUAAGUUCAAUUGGUUCAACAUCUGAUGAGGCCUCCUACUAGUAGUGCACAUCUUUUUCUCUCUUGUCCUUUCCCUUGCCUUUGCUCUUGCCUUUGCCCUCGACUCUUUCGCAACAUAAGCUCCAGCAGAUUUAGAUUCGCUCAACUUCUUCAUCAUCACCAUCUCUUUUUCUUUGCUCAAUACAUGGUUUUCCACCUCGUUUAUGUCCGAAACAACCUCGUCGCACUCGGAAGUGGAAGACAAACUCUUGGACCGCUCAGAACUGCAGCUCAAGUUCUUCUUCUGUGUUCCGAGAUCCCUGAUGGCCUUUCUGGACUUUUUUAGUAGCCACUCGAUGGUUUUACUUGCCCUGUCAAGCCCUAGCAGGUCUUGGAGGUCAAAGAACUGACGGGCAACGUUGAGGGAGAGCCUCACCCUACGGUCCCUCAAACCCUGAGCGGUGAAGAUCUUGCUGUGCCGGUCUUUCUUCAUCUCGGCCGGUGCUACUACUAAAUCUUCCCUAGAAGAAUGAAGAAAAUAAGGAAUAAUAUUAUCAUUACUAAUGCUACCAUAGUUACUAUGGUAGUACUGAUGAUGAUGAAGAUGAUCUCCACAAGAGGAUGAUAUGGUAGAGUUUAUAAUACCAGGCACAGUGUUUGAUGAAACUCCCAAAUGGGUUAGGGUUUGAUGAGAAGGAGGCGCCAUUAAAGCAAUAUUUUGGUGUGAAAAUUGACCAGAGAGAGGAUCAGGAAUGUGAUGAAGGAAAGUGUCUCCGGUGCAAGUUUCUAGGUUUGCACAAGGAGGAGGAGGAGGAGGAGGAGGAGGAGGGUAAUUUGAAGAAGAAGAAGAAGAAAAGGGAAAGUUAUGUUGAAAAGGAAUUACAGUAUUACUAUUAUAACUGGAAGAUGAAAACAUGAUUUCUUUUUCCUCGGGCUGUUAGGCAGUCCUUAUACAAUAUAAUACCUUUGUUAAGAGAGCCUCUUCUUCUUUUGAACACUAGAAAGAAAUUAUCCUAAUUUCGAACAGGUAAAGAGAGCUUCUUCAUACCCAUUGAACUUCUCAAGACUUCGCUUUUCAUACUCACUUUCUCACUGCAACUUCAGAUCCAUCUGUGUUCUUAAAAAGAAGAUCAAGGGGAGUGAGCUCUGCUGUGAAAGAUGCAUGGUAUCGGAUAUAUAAACACGGAAGCUCUAAUAAGUGGGGGAUUGAUUUGUUUGUGUUGGAGACAUCUGAAAGAUGGGUUUUUGGCUGUUUCUGCUGUUCUUCCUCUCUCUUGUUUUUUUUUUUGUUUUUUUGUUUUUUUUUUCCGGUGUACUGUUUCUUGGGCAAAGUCUUGAAGGUACAAUAUUUGGAAUAAGCAAUAAGGAUCCGGAGAAUCUCGGGAAUCCACGUAUUUUGUCUAUUUAUGGUACAUCGUAUGAUAAAAAUUAUUUAAAAUUAAAUAUUAAAAAGUUAAUUUCACGAUAUAGGAUGAACAAAUACGAUUUACGAAUUUUCGAAAUCUUCACAAAGACGAUCUGAAUUCCAAUUUUUGGUUUUCAUUGAGGGUGAUGUGUCACCGGACAUGUAAGGCGCAAAAUAUGUGGGUUUGUGCCACUUAAUGUGGAAAUACCAUACCCACCCAAAACUGAUGGGAAAUUUGACAACCCAACUUUUAGACCCGUUAAAAUUUCCAGAAAAGGGCAAGACCACAUUUAAUUAACUAGGGUUAGGUUAGGCAAUACCUCAGCCUAGAUAAUAAUUUCCAAGCACAUUUUUUCUCUUUCUACAUGGUUCAAAUAAUUUUUCUGACUUAAUUUUUAUUUAUUUAUUCAAUUUAAAGAUCAAAAUAGAGGAAUGUAUAAGAGGAAAAAAGACUCUUAUAAAAAAAUGCAAGAGAAAAAAAAAAAGACUGGAAAUCAUUCCCCAACUAGAUAAUGCCUCGUGUAGAAUUUGAAAAUAAUAAAGUAAACAACAAUUUUGGCGUAAGCUUCUUAUUGUAGGUGGGAUAUACAUCAUUUUUGCUCUUUUAUUUUUCAAUUAAGCAUCAUCUUGCGACAUGAUGAAAUGGUAUUUUAAUUUUAAUAUGUUAAUUAUUAUUGGUGUUAAUAUAACACGUAGUCUCUCUAAUUCAUUACGUAUCAUAAGAAUUGUGUAUACACAAAAGUUUCUCCAUUGUUGACAGAUAAAUUAAUCUAACAUAUACUCUUGGGUCAGUACUUGUUAAAAGGGAGCCUAAUUCAUUAUGACCAUUACAAACAGAGGAAGUCUUUAAAGGAAUGGAUCUUCAUUUUUUUUUUCUUAUAAAAGUGGGGAUUAAUUGUGGGGUCCACACGAUAUUGAAUUUUAACAAUCUGAACUAUUUAUUUUUCAAGUUGCACCUCAUAGAUCAUUCUUGCAUAAUAUUAGCCAAAUCAAAAAUAUUUAAGACAUUUAAUUGGGUUAAAAAAAAUUUACAAAUACUUUGUUAUAUAAGAAACAACAAAAUUUUAUCUUCAUAAUUAUAUUAGCAAAUGAUUUUGGAUUGAAUUGAAUUUUUGUAAGGAUGAUCUAUGAAUCGAGAAUUACAAACUAGACUGUUCGGAUUAUUGAAGUUCGAUGUCGAGUGGGUCUCACACCUAGUCCCCACUUUUUGGAAAAAAUAGAGAUCUCUUUGCAUAAAUGGCAUGUACAAACAUAUAUUCUGUAUUUGUCAUACAAAUAUUAAGCAUGCAAACGAUCAAAGCUUUCUAUUUACUUGGAAAAGAAAAAACUAAUGAAUCUUUAGGUUUUCCAAGCUGCUGGAUGUGGUGGCCUUGUAUAUGGAAAUUGCGCUUGCACAUGCUUUUGUCUUUUACCCAGCAAUAGAAGCAGCAAGUAGUGUUGUCGAGGAAGGAAGGCUUUUUGACAUCCCAUCUAGGGUCGCUUUCACCCUCUUUUUAAGUAGAAUAUAAGGUGGAAAGUAAAGGAGGAUUGGUGGAAAAACAAGUAGGGUUCAUUUGGGGUGUUGCCCUAGCUAGUGGAACGUGUUAGCUUAACUAAACCAUCAGAGCAUUUCCACCCAUGAAAUUUUGCCAUGGCCAAAUCCAAAAUCCACUCCAAAACCCAUUCCACCCACUCCUCCAAGCCAGCCAUGGUUGAGCCUUUGCAGCAGCCUUGACAAAUCUAGCCCCUAGUCCAUGGUAGUUACUAUUUACAAUUGGUGGAGAGUAACAUAAUCGCAGCAACUUAUUCAAAAUUAAUCUCAUUCGUUGAAUAAUUAGUAAAUCUCAUGACAGUCACUAAUUUAUAAUGGAUGGAAAAUGAUAAAAGACAAGCUUAAAACAUUUACUAUAUAAGUGAAUAGUAACUACCACGCCUAUUUGUAAACUCAAAUCCAUCAAAUGGGUGAAAAUGCUCUCAGGCAUGGAUUUCAUUUAAACUAAAAGCGACAUUGGCAUGUUUCAAUAGUUGGUGUGGCAGUUACACUAUCCAUGCAUGUUGGCAGAUUUUGUCUUUGGUUUCCGAUCCACGAAUUUUAUUUCGGACUUCAUAUUUGAAGACUGUAAUUGUGUUUAGACUUGAGAUCAUCUUCAACCUUUGGGUUAAAAUCUAAAAAUUUUAACCUAGAAAUAUGUUUUCUACUCCAACUCUUUUGGGUUAAUUUUUUGUCUAAGAUUAUUAAAGAAUGAAUUUAGGAUUCUUAAAGUAACUUUAAAAAAAAAAUUAUGUAGACCAUCAUAAUUUAAUUUUAUAAAUAAAUUGGGAUAGGUUUAAAACCUAAAAUUUGAGUUUUACUCCAAGGAUUGUAGGUCUUAGGCGUUGAUACCGCCGUGUACUCUCCCUCUUUCUCUUAUCAAUGAAUUGAAUAUUUCAGUUUAAAAAAAAGAAGUUGGUGUGGCAAUAACUUAUCAAAAUGAUUCAGAAAAUGAUGAACAAAGUUGUUGAUGCACGAAAUCAAAUGGACAUUGGAACAACGAAAAGUGUUAACUGUUGGUUGCUUCGAUCACCUAAUGAGGAUAAUGUGUAAAGAGGAUAAUCUCUCUUUCUCUCGAGCUAUUUUGUGAAACUAAGACCUAAAGAAACACUCGGAGCAAAUACGUAUUGUAUUCAGUCCAGCCUCUGUCCAAGUUUUGACACCAAUACAACUUAUGUAAUUUAAUUUAUAAAGCUAGCUAGAGUUUUCCUUUUUAUCUAUACUAAGGGGAGAGGUGAGUUUAGCCUCAUAAUAUGCUAGCAAUAAUGUGGUUCAAACUAGCUUUUGGUGAAAAUCAAACUUAAGACAUCUCACUUCGAAGUGAAGAGGAAUACCACUGGACUAUAAUAUUAAGUGGCCGAUCAAUUUGUGUUUUUUUUUAUCUAAACGUUUUUUGAUCCUUCCAUCUUAUAUUCCAACGCAUCAAAAACUCCAGCCCAAUUAAUUCAUUUGAUCAGAUUGAUAUGUUUUAAUUCUCAAUUCUUGCUUUCGUGUUAACCCAAUUUUAAGAUCUUAGUUCAGUAGGUUGAACAUGACGUAACUAAGAAUUCCAAGUAUUAACAUAUUACCACUUUCUUCAAAUUAGAUGGCGAUUGAGGAUCAUAAACUUUUCCUGGACGCGUAUAAUGAGAAAAAGCUAGGUUAUCGAUCAUUUUGGUCAUGUUGUUUUUUAUGUCAUUUCCUGAUCAAUGUUGGAGACUUCUACCAUGAUUUUCCUCUACGAGUAGAAGUAUAAAAUUAUCAAUCAUUUAGUCAUGUUUUUUACGAUCACAAUCUAGCCUUGAAACAUCAGUGUAUCCCAUACCGGUAGAAAACAUCAACUUGCAUGUUAUUGUACAACUUGUUUUCCCAAAAAAAAAGCUUAUGUAUAUAUCUACUGUACACCCUGCCCCCUCCCAGGCACCCACAGACCAGUAAUAAAGAAUGAAUUUAACCUAGAAAUAUGUUUUCUACUCCAACUCUUUGGGGUUAAUUUUUCGUCUCAGAUUAUUAAAGAAUGAAUUUAGGAUUCUUAAAGUAACUUUAAAAAAGAUUAUGUAGACUAUCAUAAUUUAAUUUUAUGAACAUUUUAGCCUAAAAAUAUUUAGAUUCCUAUAAAUAUUGGAAAAUCACUAAACCGACACUAUGAAACUCAUGAAACACUAUAAAAGAAUAUGAAACCCAUGAAAGAAUUUUUUAAAUUAUUUUAGCCGUUGGAUUUAAAUUUGGACCGUUAUAUCUUUUUCUUUAGCGUUAGAUUUGAUCAUAUUAAAUCUUAGCAGCUGGAUUCAAUAAACUUAUAUAUAUAAAACUAAAAAAAAUACACAUGGCCCAACCCACUAACAUAUUGUUUUGAUGAGCAUGCUCCAUCCUCCCAUAAGCAUUAGCAAAAUCAUCUGAGAUUAGGAUUCUGGUAGAAUCAUUCACAUGGCCACAUGCAAGAUCAAGAGUUGGAGCCAAAUUUUCAAAAUAAAAUUGAAAGUACCAAAUAGGGGAACUGUGUAAUUGGAUAGAAGAUAACCCAAUACUACUCCAAAGUAAAUGUAACUCCACAAUAUCAAUGUCUGGACCUUUCAACUCAGCGCGACAGAUAAUCACAAUUUAAGAACAACAUUGACAUAAAAGUAUAAAUCCACCGCAAAGAUACUAAUCCUCUUCUUUCGGCAAGAAAGUACGAGGAUCACAUAAAGCUUGGGGCGACUGGACCCUUCGACAGCCCAAGGCGAAC